GCCCCAAAGUAGUCACCAAGCCAGUCAAAAUAUCCACGCGCUGCGACUUGAUCGACAAGAAAUUUGGCACGAAUCUCCCUAUAAAAGGGGGCAGGCAGGCAGCAAAGUGUAACCGGCCAGAGCACAUCAGUCAACAACCAAAUCAGGCCUUGCAGAGACAGUAAAAUUAAGGUGUUUUGGAGGCCUGAAAACCCUGAGAUCGAUCAGGUGAUCAUGGGGUACGGGUCGUCACCGAGCUCCCCUUGGCUGGCGGCAUUGGCAUCGUGGCUGGCGAGCUUCUGCUCGGGCUCUAUCAACAACUGCGACGAAGGGAAGGUCGACGUUGCGAGGAGGCAGAUGGGCGCAGCUGCCAAGCACUUCUGCAGCGCUCACAAGAUAAAGUUCAGCUAGUUCUAGGCUUCUACUCAGUAGCUUAUAGGAGUACCAUAUAAAGGAGGUUAUUCAGUUAAUUAUUACUGUAAUUCUCUCUCGAGAUACCGUUGUGUGAGAGGGGCAAGUGUAAGGUGACAUGAAGUGUAAGUAGAACUAUUUUCGGUGUCGAUCGAUCGCAAUGUCUCUAACUAAUUCUGUGAGUAAUUUGUCCAGGGCUCUCCGCUCUCCUGGGUCUCACGUGCCGGCAGUGGCACCCAUGGCCGCGCCCAGCUCACGAAGGCGACAGGUCACUCCCAAAGCCCCGAACUCACAUGCUUUCUCCCCUAAGAAACAGAUCACUGCUCCACAACCGAACCGGAAAAGCAACACCAAAAAAAUCCAAAGCUAGCGCGCAAAUGGCCGUCUUAUACUGCAUCUAACAACAAUGAACCUGGAUGGAUGGAUCGAUCGGGUAAGUAAUUAACCUGGCGGUGGCUAUGGAUGGAUGGAUGGGUGCGUUGGCCACGUGAUGGCCCAAAAGCUCAGCUAAAACUAUAUAUGCUCUCAGAUCUGACUGACGAGCUAGCAGAGGAUAUUCUUGAGUUAAUUAAUCAGAUGAGGGAGUACAGUAAUUGUUUACUGAUCCCUAAACGGAUUCCUCAGAUUGGGCACUGAGAGUUGCAGAGGGAAUGUUCUGUUCUGCUCUGCCGGGCACGUCGCUUUCUCUCGCUCACACACCACUGAUGGAUGGAUGGCCUCCUGUCAAUGAUGGAUGGGGAUCAAAUCGGUUUUCUUAUGGAGUAAAAGGAAACGGCCGGGAAGCUUCGUGUGUUAUGCGGGGCACAUGCGCGUACCUAUAUAGCUUGUCGUUUUAGGCCGGCGGGGCGCAACGACAACGAUGACGAUCGACGACUUGCGUUGAGCUAAGCUAUAGGCAGGUCCUAAUUUUAGCUUUAACUCCUACCUACUGGAUUAGUGGCUAGUGGAGUACUAUGGCAGGGUUCAUGAACCCCGGCCAGCAGCUUGAUUUUGAGCUAGCUACAAAGGUCGUCGUCGUCGUUGUUCUAUCACUUCACCCGGAUUUGUUAAACAGGUGAUCUGAUGCUCCCCCUACCUGUCUUUCACGCGCCAACGCGUACGUUCCUAGUUCCUAGUAUAGUGGUGCGCGCGGUGGUGCCGUGCGCGAAGGGCACGAAGCACGAGUGGGAGUACUACUGGAGCCGGGCGGGCUUGGUUCAUGCACCGGCGCACGCGUAUGAUUGAUGGAUGGACCCAUGAGAUCGAUCGAGCACGUGCACUACCAUGGCAUGGUACGCCGCAGGCUAGCUAGCUAGGCACGGGUGACAAGGACAGGACGACAGGGGGCAAAGGCAUAGGCAGGUUGAUCGGUCGAUCUUGUGAUCUCCUGCGACACCGCGCGCGGCAGGUUGAAACGUGCCGUGCCGAUCGAUCGACGCAGAGAUCUCGCCCUUUUUGCACUUAAAAGGCCGCCAGCGCGACGCGAUCGGCAUCAUGGCGAUGGCGAUGCUCUGGCGCGCGGCAUGGAUCACGCACGGCACGCCCCGGCGUCUCACGGACCGGCACAUGAGAUGGCAUGCGCCCCGGCUGCUGCCGCGGCAAGCCAGGUUGUCGCGGCGCGCGCGUAGCUCGGCAUGUGCGCCCAACGGAUGGGAGGCGGUGGAAACACAAGGAAAGGAAAGGCCCGGGGCCACUUCGAUCUCCAUUCGUCCAGCUCGUGGGUGGGGGUGGGGGGCGAUCAACAGGCCGGCAUAGCGCCUUUGCGCAUCGGCAGCUAUAGGCUGAUGUUGUCCGUUAGUACGCAAUUUUUUUUUUCAACCCGGGAUCUCUCCCCUUUCCAUUACUUUCAUAACGGAAAUACAAAUGUCCGCGAACGAGAGCUGAGAACGAGGGAAACAGGAAGGAGAAAACCUAGGAACCAACUACGGCGGGCAGGAAACCCACUGACCAGAUCCUACAAUCAGGACCUGACUAUGGGAUGAAAACCUGACUACGACGCAUCAUCUCCUUAGCAGUAGCCACCAAUGAUCUGACGCCCUCCUUCAGAAGCUCCACAUCAGCUGGUUUCUGGAGACCUGUCCAAGAUAGCAGGAAAGCACAAGCAGUGAAAAUGAUCUCGAAAGGUGACUUCAUAACAAACUUAUCAAAAGUAAUCUUAUUCCUAUAAGUCCAAAUACCCCAGAGUACAGCAGCAAGGCUAACAAUAGAGAAACGAUCACCAAACGAAAGAAAAGCAUGCAUCCAGGAAAAAUACUGCCACAGAAAUCUGGGCACGGGGGAAGCACCAAACAUGGUACCAACAACCCCCCAGAUCACUCUAGCAUUAGGACAAGUAAAGAACAGGUGAGUAGCUGUCUUCUCCCGACAACAGAAAGAGCACACAUGAUUGCCAGGCCAGUUUCUUUUUUUCAUGUUAUCCCUAGUUAACACAGCAUCAUGAAAAAGUAGCCACACAAAAAUUUGGAAUUUUAGGGGGAUUUUUGCUUUCCAAAUCCAUUUAUGAUGAGCUCCAUAAAGAUAUCUUUCCAACCAUUUGUACAUGGAUUUGACAGUAUACUGCCCAGACUUAUUAAAGGUCCAACACACAUAGUCCUGUUCACCAACAAGCAGAAUGUUAUGUGCUUGAGCACAAACAGAAUCCCACUGAGUCUGAACCUCAGGAGACAGCCUUCUUCUGAAACUGAUAGAGUUUGCAUCAUCCAGGAAAGCAGAGAUAGUAAUCUGAGUGGGAGAACAAAUGCUAUAUAACUCAGGAAAUUGUAUAGAUAGAGGAGCAGGGUCAGCACCCCACACAUGUUCCCAUAACCUGACUAACUGUCCAUUUUUCACAACUAAUUUCCUCCCAGCCAGGUAAAACUCUCUCACCUUCAGUAAAGAUUGCCAGCAUAAAGAAUCUUUAGAUCUCAGUUUAACAGUAGGAGCAGAACAGUUAUCAAGAUAUUUUUUUCUAACCACAUCUUGCAAUAAGCCCUGGCCACAUUCAAGUUUCCACCACCAUUUAUAUAAGAGACUAAUAUUCUGUUUCCUUAGGUCUUUCACACCCAAGCCACCUUUGUCUUUAGACCUGCAUACUCUCCCCCAUUUCACCAAAUGGUAUUUUCUUUUCUCACUAUUACCUUGCCAGAGAAAUUUUCUUCUGUGCUUGUCCAACUUCUUCACAUAGGUUUUGUUGACUAAAAACAUAGACAUGUGAUAAGAAGGGAUAUUGGAAAGGCAAGCAUUAAGCAACACAGUUUUGCCACCCAUUGAUAAACUACAACCUUUCCAGGCUUCAAGCCUUUUGGAAAUCUUAGCAUCAAGAAAAUCCCAGUCUCUAUUUUUCAAAGAUGCAAAAGUAACAGGAACACCCAAAUAUUUCAGGGGCAAAGAGCCAACUUGGCACCCAAACAAGUCAGCAUAGAAGACAACAAUAUCAUUAUCCCCACCAAUUACAAAAACUUCACUCUUCAUGAAAUUAAUUUUCAAACCAGACAUAAGUUCAAAGAUAUACAACAAGAAUUUCAGAUUAACAGCUUUAACAGGGUCAUGUUGGAUGCAAAGAACAGUGUCUCAGCAUACUGCAAAACAGCCAAGCCAUUCUCAAUAAUAUCAGCAGCAAGUCCAACAAAUAAACCAUUACUUUGUGCCUUGAGAAUCAUUUUAGUAAGACAUUCAGCAGCAAUAUUGAACAACAAGGGAGAUAGGGGAUCCCCCUGUCUUACCCCCUUAGCACUUUGACAAUAAGGACUCAGCUCAUUGUUAAGUUUGACAGAAACAGUUCCAUCUUUUAAAACUUGUUGAAUCCAUAAGCACCAUUUGUCAUUAAAACCUCUCAUUCUAAGACAGCUUAAAAGGAAAGCCCAAUUGACCUUAUCAUAUGCCUUCUCAAAAUCAAGUUUGAGGAUAACCCCAGUUUCUUUUUUCACAUGUGUGUGAUGCAUGAUCUCAUGCAAGGUCAGAAUUCCAUCCAUAAUAUUUCUUUUCUUAAUGAAAGCAUUCUGUUGAACACUAAUGAUCUUAUCAGCUAGAGGUUCUAACCUGACAGUGAGCACCUUAGUAAUCCACUUAUAAAUCACCCUCAGCAAACAAAUUGGCCUAAACUGUUGAAUAGUAUCAGCACCGGCAAUUUUAGGAAGGAGAGUUAUAAUCCCAUAGUUCAAUCUAUGCAUAGCAAGGUGCCCUUCAUGAAAAGCAGCAAACAAGGCCAUCACAUCAUACUUCAUGAUAUGCCAGGUAGCCUGGUAGAAUUCAACAGGUAUAUUAUCAGAACCAGGAGCUUUGUUAUGUUUCAUAAUAAACAAGACCUCUUUAAUCUCAUCCUCAGAGAAAGGUUGUGUUAGGAUUUCAUUAUCCAGAUCAGAAAGAGUUUCAUGAAGAGCCCACAAAUAGGGGAAAGAGCAAAUAAGUUGCUAGGGGCAGGAACAAACAACUCCUUAUAGUACUCAGUAGCAUGGGCCAUCAACUGAGGUGUGCCCUCAAUCAGCACCUUAUUUUUUUUAAGAUGAUAAAUGGUGUUUUUCCUCUUUUUUUCAUUGGCAAUCCUAUGGAAAUAAGCAAUAUUCUGAUCCCCUGAAGGAUCCAGUUAGAAUGUGAUUUCUGUAUCCAGCUCAAUUCCACAUCAAUAUACAAGAAGUCCAACUCAGCUUGAAUCUCAACUUUUCUCCCAAACAACUCUGGGGGAAGUACAGUUACUUCCUCCCAAGAUUCAAUAGCUGCAAGCUCCUCCUUGAGCUCAGCUCUCUUUUUCCUAGUGGUGCCAAACAGAUUGGAACCCCAACCCUUGAAGUAUUUUUUUUAUCCUUUUUUGUUUAAUGUUAAUGAUGUCAAUGGGAUCGGAACUGAAAACUGGUUUUUGCCAAAUCUCCUCAACUUUAGGCAAGAAAUCAUCCUUUUGCAAGCAGGAUAAAUUAAAAUGAAAAUCUCUAUGUGUUUUAGGAGUACAAUUCUCAUUAGUAUUCAACAACAAAGGACAGUGAUCAGAUUUGUCCCUGAUCAGUUUAGUAACAGAAAUCAGAGGAAUAAGUCCUCCCAACGAGCAGACGUCGAGAUCCUAUUAGCGGUGAUCGAUCAUCACGGAUCUCAUCGAAGCCUGGCCGUCGGGUAAACAUGCUCAAAAUCGAUACCGGACAUGGUGUCAUUUUUCCCGACAUCGUAAAAUUCUGCGCGUCAAUUGUCCGUCCUUCUUUGCGUAGUUUGCUUGCUGUUUUAUUAUACGUGUUGUCAGGACACGUGGAAGAGAUGGAGGGAGAGAGAGAGAGAGCGCGCUUGUUGUGCGUAUAAACUUUUUGAAGAUUUUCAAGAUAUACAACACGAUCAGACAGGCAGGCAGGCAGGCAAUGCUUUACCCUCCCACUUUGUUAAUCCCCUCCUCUCCUCCCCGACUACUCUCUCUGCCCAGACUAUAAUAAGCUCUCUGUCACAGCCGAACCCGCGCUGAACAUUCCACCGAUCAGUACUACCAGCUGCUGCAGCAAAGAUCCAGGCACCGUCAUUCUGCUGCCGAGGCAACGUACGGCAGGCAGCUCCGACAGAUCUCCCGAGUCCCAAGUCAUCCCGGCCGUGUCCCAAUGGAGCUCUUCCAAGGUAAUUAAACAUGCCAAUCAAGAGAUAACUCCACAGCGCGGUCGUGAUGCCUCUCUUCUCUGCUACGUGCAUGCUCGAAUGAAUACUCAUCUGUUUUUCUCUCUUCCGUGGAUGCGUGGUGUGUGUUCAUGUGUAAUUCUGCAGGGGAGGAGCCGGCCCAUGAUUUCCUCUCGCUCCGCGCAGGAGGAGGCUCGUCGCCGUUCCAGCACAGGCUGCAGUCCGCCCAACAAGGUGAGAAUCAUCGCUGUAUCUCCGUUGAGCUAGGCUGGCUGGCUGGCCGGUGUUCUGUGUCUUUCCAUUUUGUUUUACUUCUCCUACCUGUUCGCUUUGAGAAGCAAGUGCAAACCUCGGUGUGCGAAACAGCAAGGCAGCCUCUAGCACUUGCAGAUCAUGUGCGCCAGCUGCUCGCUAACAUGCAUUUUCUUACAGCAGGAUAUGGCUUGGGGCCGCACAGCCUCGUGAAGCCGGCUGAGCCAGUCAAGCAGUCUAGCAGCCACGGCGGCGAUGGAGCGGUCAGUGCGGCGGCAGAUUUGGGGGAGCAAGUGUUGCCGGGCGGCGUUGGCACGUUCAGCAUCAGGCAAGUGCCUGACGCCCGGCCGAGGGAAGAAGCUGGCAUGGGCAGGGAUGCAUCUGUUGCUGCUGUCCAUCAGGGCUCCAGAAUGGAGAUUGCACAUGAAGCACGAUCCGGAGCUAUGGUUCGCAGUGCUCCUCCAUCUACAAUGUGGCAGGAUUCUGGCAUUGAUAAGAGAUCUAGAGGUAAGACAACCGGUUAACUUGUUUUGCACCAAGUAGCAAAUCGCGUGCAGUAUAUUGUUCUACGGCACCGGUCCGGUUCAGACACUGAUUGCUAUGAACAUUCAGCGGCGAGAAGCAGCGGCAGCAGCGCCGACCAGGAGCCCAGCAGUCCGAGAUCAAAGCAUUCCGCUACCGAGCAGCGGCGGAGGACCAAGAUAAAUGACAGGUCAGAUAAUUUAGGUCCAUGGUGAAUUGCGUUAUGCAGAAUCAAGAGGCAGAAUAGAACAAUACAAAAUAGCAAUGAAAACAAUGAGAGCGCAACGUGUUAUAAGCAUAUUCAGUCAGACAGGACCUCCCAUGGACAAGUAGUGCUGCAUACAGUUCCAGAAUAAUUCAUUCUUAGGAUGUGAUCCUAACGUUCUAACUAUCUUUCCAUUCUGUCAUUCAGGCUUGAUAUACUUCGGGAACUCCUGCCGAACUGCGAUCAGAAGAGGGAUAAAGCUUCUUUCCUUCUGGAGGUUCACAUAACAUCUUGUGAAUUGGCACAGCAGUCAGCAGGUUAUUCUUGCAAAUUUUCACCUCAUGCUAUAUUCUGUUUGCAGGUUAUUGAAUACAUACGGCUCUUGCAAGAGAAAUGCCAAAAAUAUGAGUCAGCCAUUCCUGAAAAGGAUCCCACGGAUUCCAAAUCCAUGGCAUGGGUAUGUGUAGCCAUGCUACCUUGUUUACAUGUACUUCCUCUGUCCCAAAAUAAGUGACUUGGAUUUGUAUACAAAUCCAGGUCACUUAUUAUACUAAUCCAAGUCACUUAUUUUGCGACGGAGGGAGUACAAUAAUCACAAGGCAUAUUUACCAGAAUUGUACACAAGGUUACUUUCAAAAUUCUGAACUGCUUUUCCUCAACCUUUUCUAAUUGGCAGGACAAAGUGUACUGCAGAUCACGGUGGAGGAACACACAGGUAAUUUCUAAAGUAAUGGAUUGCCAAAGAUAGAGACUACAAAAACAUUUGAUUUUAAGUGAACCCACUAUAUCAAUGACAUGCACCAUCAUUUGUUCUUUUAUCAUGGUUUCACAGAACAUUAGUCAAGGCCAAGGAGGAGGUUUAUCAGCUGCCACAGAAGACAUGAACAAUGAGCAGCAUUGCAGUCCCAAGGGCAUUACAGUUGCACCCACUUCUCUCUUCACUACACAAAGUGUCAAAGAAACUAGUACAACAGCCAGUUCCUCCCAAAACAUUAUAGGUACGGCUAUUUUUCUUUGCAAAAUAGCUAUAUGUCUAGAUGUUCCCCUUUGGUGUUGUUUAAUACUCCCUCCAAUCCUAAAUUGUUGUCAAAAUAUUACAUGUAUCUAGACGCUUCUUAAGAAUAGAUACAUCCAUAUUUGGGCAAAUUUGAGUCAAGAAUUUAGGAUAAGAGGGAGUACCUUUCAGUAGUUAGCUUUUUUGUAAAUGGUGAGAACUAGAUUUACCAUCCCUGGUGUAUCCAAAUGACCAAAUGCAGAGAACAACAUGCCUAACAAUCAGCUAUCAUGGCUGAGUAUGUCAACCAUGAACCAAAACAGUAAUGCAAGCAACAGCAAGCUAAGCAAGCAGGAGACGCAGAGUCUCCGCAAUGAUACUCAGAGUCUUUCCAGUGCGUACUCACAAGGGUAUGUCCUUGAACCUUUUCUGCUUACAUAAAGCUAUCACUGCAAAUGUAUGUAGUGUAACUAAAAGAACACUGCUUUGAUUCGUGACAGGUUGUUGCAUAAACUGAAAGAAGCUCUACAGAAGUCAGGAGUAGACCCAUCUCAAGCAAAUAUAUCUGUGGAGAUCAAUAUGGAUAAACGGGCAAGAGCCAAUGCUCAUAUACAUGACAAUUCAAAGGUAUAAUAAUGAUUUAAGGUUUAGUGAUCAAUGUGGACAAGUUCAGCUUUAGAAAGUUUCUAAAUCAUGUUAUGACUUGUUCAUAAUUGACAAACAUAAGAAAGCAAUAAUUUACCCAGUCUUUUCACCUCAUUUCAUAGGCUAAUGAAGGCAAAGAACCAAUGCACAUAACCAAGAGGCUCCGGUGCGACUGAAGCUACAUCUCUGUCCCAAACUCGACAAUUCAUUCAACGCGAAGUUCAGAAGGGGACUUUGCAAACCACAACUGAUGCAAUUAUUUUAUUUAUGUUGCAAUUACAUUUCACUAACCAAAGCUUCAUUCAUAUACCGAGGAAGGUGCUUUUGCGAGAGCAGCUCCCAUUUUCUUUUCUUUAGUUUUGUAAAUGCAGUUCAGAUUCUAAAAUGUGUGUAUUUCUACAUGUAAAGGUCUCAAUUAAACUCAAUUCUUUUCUAUAUAGAAGAAGUCGUAACAUGCAGCUUGUAUUGGAAGUUAAAAUAACAAUUCAAACUCAUUUGAACAUACACUGGAUUGGAUUGUAAUGCCAUUGUAUCAACCUUCCAUGAUUCCAUCCAUUAAAUUGAUAAGUAAUAAAACCGUAAACAUCUGCUGUACUAUACUAAACUUGUGAAUGAUGAUUUGAAACAUCAACGAACCGUGGGUAUGUUUGCAUAUAUCAUCAGACUAUGUUUCCCUUUUUCAUGGGUAAGAUUGGAGCUGGGUUACAUCACCUGGCGCUCGGCUGCAUCUGCAACUAUGGGCAGCCGUGGCGUCAUCCCGAGCAUGCACGCGCCCCCGCCGUAGACGAGGCAGACGAGCAGGAAGAGGAAGACGGUGUUCUCCAAGCUCUGGAAGAUGUCCAGCCCGAUCCCGGCGCCUGAGGGCGCGAAGGACUGUGCGAGGAGGUCGGGGACGAUGAGCAGCACGUCGAGCGCAACGGCCUGCAUGGCGUUGAAGCGGACGAAGCGGGAGAAGGCCUGCUGGUUGCGCACGACGGCGAAGUAGAGGGUGAGGAAGAGGAGGAAGGGCGUGAGCGGCGAGGAGUGGAAGAGGCGCGCGGCGGGGGCGAGCGGGCCGAGCAGGGCGUUGAAGAAGGGGAACUGGGCCACGAGGAAGCGGCCGUGGUGCGCGCCGUCGAGGAACGGGUAGAGGUAGGCGACCGCCGCCACCAGGCGGUCGGGCGCCCCCACCGCGUCGCUGUUGUCGUUGUUGGCGCGCGGUGGCGGGGCGAGGAGACGGAGCGAGCGCGGGCGCGGGCGCAGCGCGGUCACGCCCACGCCGGCGGUGGGGGUCGCGCCGAGGAGGGGAAAGCGUGGCGCGGGGGACUUGAGGAGGGACGGGGCUGCGCGGUGGAGCGGGCGAGGGGAGGAGAGGAGGAGCGAGACGGUGGACGCCAUGGGGGAGCGGCGCGGCCGGUGCGAGCCUCGGCGCCGAAGGGGAGUGGGCUGGAGAUUUUUGUGUGGAGUUUGAGCGGAGGGGCACGGCGGUGGCGUUUGGCUUGGCAGUGGCAGCGUGGCGCGGGCAAGGCUGCUGCUGCUGCUGCCUCCGAGGGAGGGGACUUUGGAGCGGAGAUUUUUGUGGAGUUUUGGGGGGAUGUGGCCGAGUGGGAGACGAUGAGAUCGGUUGGUGGUGAAGUGAGGAGGGAGGCCGGCGCGGCUGAUGAUGGGGCUUUCUCACGGGCCGAGCUUGCCGUGCCGUGCUGCGCUGUUGAACGGGCCGGGAAGAGGAGUGGGCCCGUGCGUCCAUGUGGGCUUGGGUGCGGGUUGGACCGUGCAGCAUGGGUGGUGGCCUGCAUUGACUACUACUCCCUCGUUUUUUUAUUUUUGGAAGGGACCCCCCUCGUUUGUGCAGCACAUGGGCCAUGACACCUUGCUGAUCUACACUAGUACCAAUGUCCUGGCGGCGGUUAUGAAAAUCUAGCAGCAGUUCUUCCUCCCGUCCAAACGAGAAGAUGAUCCCCAUGCUGGAUCUUACCCGCGGCCUUGGCAUCUAAUGUAAUAAUAACUCAGUGAUCCCAUGCUGGCGCACCACCCGUGACAGUAUAUAAAAAUGUGCAGUAACAACAGUUGUUAAACGCCCAAGGUACGUGGCAAGGUUGCUCUUGCGUUAAGGUGAAUCCCCGUCCGGGCGGUCACCAGACUCACCACUGAAAACAAGGAGGAUGCACGAACUUGCACGUCAAUUGGCGAUGCACGAUGCGCCUAGGAUCUGGCGCACGUCGGGGACUAUUGUGCAUUACGUUAAGUUGCGCCCGCAUGGCCGCAGAGCGGAGAAGACUACGGCGGCAUUGAGAUCCCACUAGCUGCUGCAUCUCACCGAUUAACGGCCACUGAGGGAAAGAACUUAUGUGAAUUCUAUUUUAUUUUUUUAAGAUGGAACUUGUUAGAACUCUAUUACUGGAGUAAGUACCAUGUUUGGUGACCUAUGCCCUCCUUUUGACAGGAAUGGUAUUGAACACACAGAUAAUUUGUAAUCGGUUCGAUCAUGCUCCAUGACAGUCUUAAUGCUCAAAUCCCUAGUACUGACGGUAAUACAUAAAAUGGUCUAGUCGUACUGUUGUAGGAGUUGUACCAUUACUGAACUCCUAGGAUUGCUCUUGCAUCAAUGUUAAUCCAGUCUUAAUCGUCACUGAAACCAAGACACUCGCGUUCGCAAUGUCGCACGUUAACAAGUGGAUGGGCGCAAAUGCAUGUUGUAAAUCGAUGCGCCAGAGUCGUUAAAAAAAAGAUACAUCAGGGUGCAUUCUACUCAACUUUCAGUCAGGGCAUGUAAUUUACGAGCAGCAUCUAGUGUGGCUGCUCAAACAGUGAAGGAGUACUUUUGGAUAAGAUACAUAAUUCUUUGGACGAAAAUGGCAUGUAAAGCAAACACGUCUCUGUCCUUUCUCAUAAUUUCAUUCGGUCGUAUUUGAAUACAUUGGAUUAGGCACAAUUUGAUCGGAUGGGCAGAGACUGGACUAAAAUCCCUGUCAAUCCCGAGCAAUUGGGUCUAAACAAAGCGAAAACGUAACAGUGUUCCCGUGGGAAUGGAUGAAUUUGUCAUCUUGCUCUCACCAUCUAUACAAGAAUAUCUGCUCUUUUCCAGAAUCUACUUCCCCAUGACCCCAUUCUAUAACAUCUAUUGUACAUACCAGCUACAUUCAAGCAGCCUUCUCUAUGGCCCAACCUGAACUCCUCAGGAUGCCUUGGCAGUGCCAUUUGACUCAGUUGAGGAGAAACAAUGUCUCAUCCCAGUUCAGUCAUGUCGUGUUGGGAAAGAAUGGCAUGAGUACCCAGUAUUACAGUGUAGGCAAAAAAAUAGAUCACCAUGCCCGUAGAAGAUUGGGAUCUCGCAAGCACUCUUGAGGGUUUGCAUAGAAGUAGUCCUCUUCCUUGGGUUUGUCAGGAAUCACUGUCCUUCUCGAAGCUGAACCCAUCCGGUUUGCAUGGACAGACUUGAUUUGUUUAGAGAACUCAUCCCACGGCAAAGAACCGCUAUUAUACCUAUCGACUAAAUCAACAAUAAGUUUCCUGUCCAAUAAGAUUGUGUUCUUGAAACCCAUGAUCCUGCAGUGGCAAAUACGAAAAGAUGUAAAAAAUCCUCUAUAGUAGGCUACAAAGGAUCAGGUUCAAAAUGUUAAAAAUGUCCAAAUCUAAGAUGCAGGUAAUAGAGGACGGUAAAGUUAUAAAAAUGUUCUGAUCGAAUAAUUUAUUCACGAAAUAUAGCUAUAACGAGGUGGAAUAUACAUACCUGCGGUGUCCCUCGACAACUUUAGCCAUGUUACCAUCAUAUGUUGGGACAAAUAUGUCACUUUCCAGUGAAACUAAGUAAUCCAGUGCUGCCAUCUGUGAUGAAUGAUUCUGAAAAAACUUGAGAUCAGAUGGUUCCAAGAGAGUCUCCUUUCUCACCUAUACAUCAAUGAGUUUUCAUCAGCAGUGAAAGAGGGGGACAGAGAUAUGGAUAGUAAUGAUAGUUAUCAACUUCUAAUGCGCAAUAACGUCGAUGCAUAUGCACCACUUGGUCCAUACCACGUUGGGAUACUCUGAAGUAAGAGAAGACAUUCUGCGUUUUCCACCAUAUAUUUCUCCAGCCGCAAUAUAUAUUUGCAUACUUCGGUCAAUCCCCAAUGCUCUGAGGACAAGAGCAAUCUCCUCUGGCGUUAAAGGGCAAAGACCAUCUUUCCUUUUCACAUAAGAGUUAAUUACUUUCUCUUUCCACCAUGGGUAUGCAUAUCUGAGAUUAGCAAGUAAUGCAAAUGUCAUUACUGAUGAGAUGAAAUUUACCUGCCUCACACAACAAUAAUAAUCCAAAAUGCUAUUUAAAUCUAAGGCACGACAGCCAACAAAUUUACCUCAUUCUUGUGAGCUCAUCUGACUCUUCACGCGUGCAACCUUCAGUACAGCCAGAAAAGGCCAGCAUGUCCAUUUCAUAUCGUAAAUGAAGAACCAAAAAAGGGCCAUUUUUGCGGAGAAUUCUAAUCACUCGCCUGCCCAACUCUUCAAUUUGGGAUGUAAAUUUCAGUGAAGCGUAAUUAACUUGGCAGCGCAACUUCUGGAUAUCAAGGGGCAGACCAUUAUUUGCAAGCCUAGCAUCAGUUCUAUUCAGAUGGAGAACCUUGUGCUUCUGAAUCAAAGGAAGUAUCUGUACAAAGUGAAUUUAACAGUUAGCCUUUUUACCAAAAAUAACAUUGUAAGAGCAGGUAACAAAGCACGCAUCUAACUAAACAAAAAGAAAUCUGACCUGAUUAUGGUAAUAGGAGAUAUGAGACCAACUAAUAGGUGGCAUUGAGUGAAACAUUCCCAUUUCCACUCUUUGCUUCAUUCUUGGUGGCAGUUCUCUAAGUAUACGAACCUCACCUCUUAGAGAAGUAAUAAAAUGUUCAACAUCAAAAAUAUCCUGAAACUCACUAAAGGCAAAGCAAAAGGUUAUUUGCAUAACUACGUGGUAGAAAGGAACUGGGAAAAGCAAAGUUAUAUGGAAACAACAAGUGCACCUUGGGUCAUUCCAAAAUGAUGUCUUAUCCAACUCGGGAACUAUUAGAGUCACAUUCAAAUAUCUUGCAAUGGCAACCAUAUCACAUAUCUGAUUAAACAAGUAAAGAAUGUGGUGUGUUAGGUGGUAUGAAGCCAUUUCUGACAAAAUGAAGAAUUUUCAGGAUUGCUUACAGCUGCUCGCAUUUGGUUAAGUCCACCAUUGCACGAAACCAUCAAAUAACCAUUGUUCCUAUAAACUCCUGAAGGAAAAUGGAUAAGAUUAGGGAAAUCAAGAACAACUAAAGAAUAUACAAGGACAAUGUGCAUCAAGCACGGUUUGUGUAAUACUCCGUACAUUAGUUUCUAUGAAUCACAUAUUUUGAUGUAGUUGAAGUGGUGAAAUGGUAAAAAAAAAAAAACUUGAACACACACCCAAGUACGUCAUAGUGUGCAUUCAGUUCCUGUUAACAUUUGAGUAACUGAACAAAUUUUUGUAACACUUAGUCGGUGUUUGUAAUAAUUGUAGAAUUAGCUAUUUCAACAGAUAUAGAAUUGAAAUACUAAAGCAUGCCAUGUAAGACAGUCUCGUACAGCACAGAAAAUUGUCAAAUUGUGCCAUUAAUUCUUAGGACUAAAACGUAAUACAAUGUUCUCUUUCUUGAAAAUAGACAUUUGAUCAGAUUCGAAGCUUGUGGUCACCCAUGUGAAUUCCUAAAUGCACUACAACUGGUACCAGAAAGGCAAAAGCCGACUCAUAAAUAUCGUGCUUGAGCAACCAAUUGUGGGUACAUGUUCCUUUCCAUCCACAGGCAAUGAUUAACCAAUUACCGUUAGAGGAAUCAAAAGUACAGCUCAACAUUUCAUUAAAAAAAGUGUUGAAUUCCAAAACCAUGAAGAGGGAACAUGAUGAUCAGAGCCUGGAAACAGGCCAGAACGCGUAAAGCAUUUUAUGAUCAAAACCACUGAAUGUUUGCUAAUUGUGACCCCCCAAAAACGACAAUGCGAAGCAGAGCAGUAGUACUAGCACUUACUCUGCGGCGGCAACGCGGGCUUCUCCGCGACGGGCUCCGGCAUCGCGAGCCGCGCGGCGGCGGCGGCGGCCUCCGGCGCCAUCAUCCGGCACGACGGCCAACCCCUCAGGACGCGCGGGCCCCACGUCUCCCCGACGGCCGUGAGCUGGACGAGGCAGGUCCACAACAACACCGUCGUGGUGGCGCGCAGCAUCCACAGCUGCAUGCGCGACCGCGCCACCGCGGCCACCGACGGGAACCGGAGGGGCUUGUCCGCCCCGCCGCCGACGCCCGCGGCCGCCGCCUUAAGGCCCAUUGCCAUUUGUACUCGGGACCGGCGAACGCACAACGACGGAACGGCCCUAUGUAACAAGCAGCAUCUGGGGCUCGAGCACGGCAAGGACUCGAAAGAAUCGCGUGGCCUCCACUCAACGCGAGGACAGCGGCGAGCUCGGGCGGGCGCUCUGUGUGUGUAUAUAUGCGCUGCCCGCGCGUGCAAUGGGCGCGCCGAAUCGGCAGCGGGACCGGCCAGAAAGGGCACGGCGGAGGCUGGGCUGGCUGGAGCGACGGGAGUGUGCCGGCCGGUGGAUCUCGGCCGUGCUGGUGCUGCCGCGCGCAGGCCUCGGAAGGCGGGGAGGGAGAGGAGUGGGCGCCUGGGCGGGCGUGGCGUCAGGAGAGGAGGAGGAAGAGGAGCGAUUCGUGGGGGAGGCGUCAAGUUAUUUUCGGGCCCUCGUGUCGGUGUGGUUUCAGAUGCGGGCUGUGGCGCUGUUGACGUUCAGCGGACCUGUUCAAGUAACCGGCGGGAAGUGCACACGGCGGAAGGGCGGUACGGGCGUGGACGGUGGGGAGGCGAUGGGAGCGGAAGUCGAGGCGGAUGGACGGUCUCGAUGUGUUCGCCCGAGUCGGCUGGGGUGAGGGCUGUUCCCACGUGAGCGGUGCCGCUGCGGACGCCGUUCGAUCGCAGGCCCACGGCACAGACGGAACCGUCGGCUGAGAGGAAAUACGUACCUGCGGCAGAUCAUAGAUCCGGUCGAGGGAUCACGCACGAGGAAUAAUGUCCACAGAAUAAGAAUGUGCUCCGACGAACUUGCCAAGAAUCGCGUACCCGAUUUGAUUACUUCCAGUUCCUGUAUUCACAAUUGGUGCUGCCGUGCUGGGUCAAACGGCUCAGCUGAUCAAUCAGUUGUGACUUGUGAGUUGUGACGCAUGUGAGGUGUCGAGCAUUACGGGGUCUCGCACGCAGUUUGCAAAGGAUCGAGGAUAAGAAGUUUAGAACCCACAGCAUGGUGCGCCAGACGAAAUUGAUGCCACCAUGUACUGGUAAUCUGGUACUCCGUACGUAUGAUGCAUCGCAAGUCCAGAGAAAGCGACAGGGCACGAACAGGAAGCAGCCAAGAGGGGGACAGCCUCCCAGCAGAGCUGCAGGAACCCCUUGUUUUGCAUCCAAUUAUCUACUGGUAUUUGAACACUCACGAGUUGUCCGGAAGAAAGGACACGGGGCCGCAGAGCAGCUGACAGACGACACUGUGGCUCGAGAUCGAUUGGACUCGCUCGACCAUUUCUAAACUCAAUGGCACGUAAACAAUCGAGGAUGACUGCAAGUCUGCAACGCAAUUUCACAGUACCUGACUGCUUGUGCUGCUGCUUCUUUUUUGUUUGUUCAGGGAAAUACACGUGCUUGUUAAUUUUAUUUUAUUUUAACGGUGAUUCAUUUUUUUAGAGGAAUGUUGAUUCAUUUUUUCUAAGUGAACGCUGAAAUAUUUACCCCACAAGCUCUGUGUGUUUCUUCUUCUUCUUUUUGAGAAAAUCGGGAAACCCAACAAGCGUGUUUUUUUUUUUUUAGAAUCACCCAACAAGCGUGUGUGAUCUUUGGUCCGAGGAAUCCGACCGUGGGCCGUCAUAUGCGCGAAGGACGGUCCGUGGGCUGCCUUUUGAAUACUCGGCCCAUGUAUUAUUCGCGUUCGACACUGGCGCGGCGGCGAGUGCGCGGAAUAAUCCCACCUCGGGCAGGCACCGAGGUGCGCGGGCAUGGGAAGUGUUGAAAUAGGGGUGCCAUGCGAAGGUUGCGACUCAAAAAGGGUCGGUUGGCUAUGUAUGCCACGUCCAUCCUUGGCUGAUGGGUGCUGUAUGGCUAUCAAGACAUAUGGCCGACAUAAUUUGUGGGAAUCAAUAGGGUUGGCUCGUCAUGGCCGACCCUCCAUUCAUCAAUACCUUAUUUUUUCUUCUGUAUCCAUUAUAAAUGAUUAAUCCAUUAUAAUUGUGAAUUAAUUUUUAUUUAAAUAUUUCUCGAAGAGGAGCGCUGUUUUAGAGUUCAGCGGCAUGAUUAUCGGUGACCUGAAUCUAGUGGAGUGCUUCAAAAUCUUUACAUAAGCUAUUCGCCUGGUUUCUCAUCCACCCGACCCGCAACCCUACCGGCCGCAAAACGGAUUAAGACCAUGUCGUCAUGCCGCCACCAAUCUGAUGGGGUCAUUGUCGCUCCAAUCUCCUUGUCAUAGAAGCAAAUUCAGAAAAAAGUUCGUUGCGAUUUGGAAGCAAAUUCUACUGUCUAUCGAACAAAAUUCUUAAUCUUUGUAAGCACAUUUUACUGCAUGGAACCACGAAAAAUUUAGGUGCAAAGGAACAUUAAGCUGCACAUUUUUUUGAGUUUUUAUUUUUUGACCACUAUAUAGACCAACCAUAAGUAAUUUGCGUGCCACAAAAAUUAUGCCAUUGAAUUAUUAUUGGAAAAAGUAAUUUAUUGUCAAAAUUAAAUUUCAAAAUACAUGCACAUCCAUUAUAAGGAACGGAUGGAAUACUUAUGAAGACACGCAAUAAAUACAUAUGAUUUUUAAGCUGCUAGUCUAGGUAUUUAAAACGAUCGUCAGUCAAAGGUUAGCCAAAGGUCCAAUGGACCAAGGCGGCAUUUUUCCAACUGGAGGGAGAUCAUGACAGCGAACCGAGAGUAUCGCCCUCGUGUGGAAUAAAAACAGACUUUUAUUUCACAUGGGAAGUCAAUCUGGUUUCAAUUUAGCUCACCAAACUCUCAAGAAUAACAGCACAGGCAGAACAGAGAACAGCCCUAGAAAACAGAAGAAGAAAAAUGCGAGAGCAGGAAUACCACUUUUCUAGACUUCCGUAGAAUGAAAAAUCACAAUAAGAAGAAUAACAUUGCUUCAUCCGGAGACCACAAAGGUUUAAACAUCUAAUGUACAGUGGCAGCUGGAAUUCGGUAGCCAUGCACUAGUGCCUUCGUCGUCAUAACCGCCAUCUGUGUAGAGACGGUAAAGUAUCGCAUGGGAUCAAAGCUACUCCUUCGCAGUCUCUGAAUUGCCUGUUGCUGACUUCUUCUCGUCUUCAUCGCUCUCUAAACCCUGAAAAGGCAAGAACCGUGUGCUGUUAGCAUGAAACAAGCAGCUGCGAAGGAAAGCAACGACGUAUUAUAAUGUCUUAAGCACACCAUCCUUGCAAGUGCUACACCACAACAUAAGAGACAGCUAUGUAGCCUAGUGGUAGAGCACUAAGUUUCUAUCCGCUAAUAGAUUCAACUACCACUGCUAAAAGUCAAAGAUAUGGGUACGCGUGUACCAACUUGACAUGCUUGCUUUUCUUGUACACCACAACAUAAGAAGCAAUGCGUGCAGAUUACAGAAUGGUAUCACAAUGACACCUCAUAGUGGUAGCAUUGGAAUGAGGAUUUCCAAAUGUACAAUGUCUUAAUUGUCCAACGCUGUAACCACAAAACAUAAAAUUUACAUUCUACUAUAUGUAUGAUUGUAUGGAACACUAGAACACAUAACAUCUUAUUUACUGUGGCCAACAAAUCUAUUUUAAGGAAGCAAGUGUACUUACUGAGGCACCAUCUAUCUUAUCGAAGUCAUCAUCUAGCCCUUCAUCGCCACCAUCUGCAAGUAAUGCAAAAGAAAAGGUCAUAUACAAGAAUUGCAGGAGCAUGUAGCAACUAAUGAGAAGGAUCAGGUGCAGGAAAGCAAAUAGCGUACCAGGGCCCUCAUCAUCACUGCCCAGAUCUCCAAGAAGAAAAACAUCCAGAUCAUGCUCUCGAUUUGAUGAAGUGGAUGUCUUGCUUUGCACCUUCGUCUCUGUCUGUUCUGAAGUUGUAGCCUGUGAGGUCUGUGAUACUUCCUGCUGGGAAAUCCUUUUUUCCUCCUCGGCUUUCACUUUCAGCUCCUCAAAAUACUUGGUCUCGUAACUAUUUGGGUUACAUUAAAAUCAGUAAGCUAUUGAGUAUCAAAAUUGGUGCCCGAGCAAAUUAUACUGAAACUAAUGGUAGAACAUAUGCAGCAUCAUAGCACUUGAACACCAACAAUUUAGUUCAAAAACUAGAAAAAUAUUUAGCAUGGUAGCUAAUGAUUUCAUAUUAAGUACUCCCUCCGUUCCAUAUUAAGUGUCUCAAAUUUGUCCAAGUAUGGAUGUAUCUAUGCCUAGAAAGCGUCUAGAUACAUGUAAUAUUUUGACACUUAAUUGGGACGGAUGGAGUAUUACAUUAGAGGCUACAACAUCUAUCCUCGACCCUGGCACCUACCAUGAAGACAUAUGCAGACCAGUGAACUAGUGAAGUAUGUGACUGAGUGCGAAAUAAUUAUGAGAACCAAUCCUACUACUUCUCAUCCCACGAUUUCCACAAUUGAAGAAAAAAGCACAGGGUGUAUAGAUCAAAUUAUUGGACCAGUGCUGGAUGUCAAUUUUCCCACAGGGAAGUUGCCUUAAAUUUAGAACGCUUUGGUAGUCAAGAGUCGAGACACUGCUGGUAAGCAAAUUAAGGUCACUUGUGAGGUACAACAAUUAUGGGGAAAUAGUCGAGUUAGAGUUGUAGCUCUGGGUGAUACAGACGGGUUGAUGAGAGGAAUGGAAUGCUCGGAACAUAAUUCUGUUACAAGAGCUACAAUGGGUUAUCACUGCAAGUGUUUGAAUAGAAAGCGAUAAAUCUUUACAAAACAACGGUUCUUGACUAGAGUAGUCAGAAUACAUUCUUGGAUUCCUUCAACAAGUAUGGCAUCAACGAUAAAUGACAAACCACCCAAGUUCUAGAAAUGAAAAGAUUGCCCUAAUCGGCCAAUCCCAAUAUGAAGAUACUACGGGUAGAAUUGGACACAACAAACUUUACAAAAAUUUGACUACAAUAUAUCAUUAUGGUCUCAUACUCAUUUUGUGUAUUUUGAACAAAGAACUAAUCCCAAGUAUCUAACAAUCUACAACAUUCAUAGCGUGUUUAGGUGUAACAUGUUCUUCCCUAAAAACAUUAAAAAUCAGAUAAUCAGUGGCAUCCAUUCUGUUACACAAACUUAUGAGGCAGAGGUUGGAUAAGUGUUGACCAAUGACAACAAAAAUGUAUUAGGAUUACAUAGCAUGACCUAACAUGAAGGAAGAAGAGUAGAAGACUUACAGGGCUAUGUAGUUGUUUACUAGCAAAAAAUAAAUUCGCCAGAAUUUUCGCUCUUUCAUGUAUCGUGGGCACAGCUCAUAUCUGAACUUUGAAAUUUCCUGCAAAUAUGAUAGCACACUCAAUACAACUUUAACAAAAUACAAAUUGGGCUAGCAAUGAGGCGGGGUUACAAAAUUCUGUUCGCUUUAACUAGGAGUGCUUUCUUGAUAAAAAAUCAGCACAUGGAAAUAUGACUAUUAACUCAAUUUGAACAAGCAUAGUUUUAUCGCAUAUUACUAUAGAACCAUGCUUCUUAAGAUGUUUCAAUUCCCAUCAACUUCUAGUUAAUCCAAAAUUGGCAUAUCAAUGUCGGAACUCACACUUAAGUUAACACUGCGUCUAAAACAAUCAUAGCUGAAAUCUAAGUCGUUUAUGUUGUGACAAAUGGUCCAAAAUAUGCAUUUUAGUUUUCAGCACACUAGUGUCCAAUCAUUUUGUCCUUUGAUACAUAUCUAGAUAUGCCAAUUUUAUGACCUAUCCUUUUUGGCAACUUUAGGCUGUUAAUACAUCCACCUAUUUUUCCUGAACUUUGGGCUCUUGAAACAUAUCAAGAUUACAUUCUCAAACAUAAAUACUCCCUCCAGUCCUAAAUUCUUGUCUCAAAUUUGUCCAAAUAUGGAUGUAUCUAUUCUUAAAAAGCGUCCGGAUACAUGUAAUAUUUCGACAACAAUUUAGGAUCGGAGGGAGUACUAUAUUAGACAUUUCAGGUAUCGAUAAUUCAGCAAUUUACUCAGCAUUCAGUUAGCUCUAACCAUCACAGUAUAAAUACAUCGAUCUAUUGCCCAAUUGUCAGUUGAAACUAAAAACAUAGCUCUAAAUCCUUUCCUGACCUGAAUAUACACUUCUAAUCAGAUAUGCAAGGCAAACAAAACUGUGCAAACAGUGCAUCUGUUCAGAUGCGCAUUCACAACCACUCCAUCUAUCGAGCCACAGAACCCCAAUCCCCCACAGAUAGCGUCAAUCUCUCAAUAAAUGAUUAAUGGAGGCAAAACCUUGACGGCCGAGAGGACGAGAGUGGCGUGCCUGGCCUGCCAUUCGUUCAGAUCCUGACGCACAUUCGACACCGUGGGCACAUCCGACAUCUCCGGCUCUUCUGCGUAACCAAAAUCCUAUGAAACAAACACAGCGGCUCGAAUCCCCUAAACCCAACCGUAAGUAAACCUUACCUUGCAAGGGGAAGUCGCGGAAGGUGCUUAUGGUCAUGCCCUUGACGAACUCGCGGAGGUCUUCGGUGAUGCCGUAGCGCUCGAGCUCGGCGGCGUCGGGCUCCGACUCGGCCGCGGAGGGGAUGGGCGGGAUCGAGGGAAUUGGUGGGAUGGAGGGGACGGGGAUGUCCGAUGCGAGGUGCAUGAUCUGGCCGGCGAGGAGGUCGGCCUGCUUCGUUGCCUCCGCGGCGAUCUCGCGAGACUUGGUGGCGGUCUCCGAGAAGAUCUCCUUGGACUUCUUCGCCGUCUCCGACACCAGCACCGACGACCGCUUGGCCGCCUCCAAGGACAGCUCCUGCGACCGCUUGGCCGCCUCGCCGGCGAAGGACCGAGCCCUCUCCCAGAGAUCCAUCGCGCUUGGAAAGUUCUAGAAGGUUCGGAGUCGUCUUACCGCCGGUCCCUCGUCGCCUUCGCUGACGUCGGUGCGGGACGGGAGUGUUUCAGCGUUGUUUGCGGUAUUGGUUUUAUUUUCUUGAGUAAUGGGAGGAUAUGGUGUUUUUACGAAUUUGACCUUGUUUGUUGUGAUAAUUGUUGGCAGUAUUUUCCUCUCAGUGACAUGCCGUUCUGGAAAAUACUUGGAUACUCUGUCUGUUCAUCGUGGAAAUCUAUGGUGAAAAAAGAACUACUCCACUCAAAUAUUCCUUCUGGCUGUUUCGAAUAUUGAAAUACUUCCUCCGUUUCUAAAUACUUAAUAGAACUCUCAAUAUUUUUAUCAAUGUAUACGGUUAUUACUCGAAAAAAAUGUUUAAUAAAUAUUUCGAAAAAAUCUUUAUGACAGAUUAAUCAUAUUUUUCACAAUACGAUAUGAAUACAAUUUUACCAUAUCAGCAAUCAAAGUUCACCUUUAUGUUGGCCAUCCACGGAAAACUCUCUCAAGGAAUAAGUCAAUCACAAAUCCCAAGAUUUUUUUAAAAAAACUACGCAGAUGCUUAGAACUCAUGUGUUUCUGUCAAGUUUCUUUACACUAGCUAGCCACGAGCACGCCCCAAAAAGCUUGCACCGAAGAAACGUAUCACGAUAUCAGUUUGUAUACAUGCAAUGGAGAGACUCGGUGUAUUCAAGUUCAAGGGUUGGAAGUGGAUUUUGGGAACAAAGAGGGGUGGUCGUGCUGAACUGCUGAUACGGGGAAAACGAAACGAGUUUGACGUGGAUGGGCCUUGUUUCUCCUUCUUCUGGGAGAUUUUUAUUUUCUUAUUUUUCUGAGGGGGGCUUCUUCUGAGAGAUUGUUAGAUUUCCUUUUCAUACUGAUGGAGCCGUCACGUUGCCGUGCAGAUUCCGGUCCUGAUCCACUGGAGCUGACCGCGACAAGACCACGAAACAGAAUUACAGAAGCAGGCCCGCGCACCACGGAAGUUGAGCAGCACUGCAGCAGCGUCAACCCGGGGCUAUACCUGUAGAUUUCUUUUCUUUGCGUCGGAGCAGGGCCCCCAGCUAAGUCAAGGGUCCAACAAGGCCAGGCCAGUACUUGAUCGCAAGGGAUAUGUGUGGGCUGGAGCCUGGAAGGAUACUUGUUGUAGUUGUAGUUGGGCCUUCAUGCUAGGCCGGAAGUUAAAUCGGAGUGUUGGGCUGAGAUGUUUUAUAGUUGGGCCGAACUCGGAAAAACCCUGAGUUGUUUGCUCCCCUCGCAGUUCUUUUAUUUUUGUUCUUCUCCCCUCGCAGUUCAACCUUUUGUACCUCGGAACUUCUACCUCCUAGUUCAUCCUAUUCUAACUGUGGGUCAGUGGGUAGCAUCUAUCAUGUCAGAUUCCUUUAGGACGCAGAAGAGAUCUAAAGGGAAUUAAUAUCGCUGAAAACAGUUUAAUCUUCGUAGGAUGUCACAAAUAAUGUUUACCGUGUUACUGUUUGAUGUAGUAAGCUUUGGUUUUCGAACAAGAAAUUAAACAGUUUGCGUUGGGAAAUGAUUAGUUAAGGUGGCACUGAUCAAUUACUGUUGGCGCAAAGUGAUUCAUAUAUUUCCUGCAUGUGACUGCGAUCCACUGUAGACUGAAAAUAAACAAGUCCAGUGAAAUGGUUAAUUCAAUUUGUUACAAAGAUCCGUCAAGAGCCAAUGAGCUGCAUACGACCGAUGUAAUCAUUUAAGUAAGUAAUGAGCAUCAAGCCGACGAGCCGGCUUAAGGUCGAUCAGCCAGAGAAUUCCCCGGAAGAUAAGGUUGGCAGUGAGUCACUGAUAUUGUCUCCAUGCCCACAGAAACUUCCAUUGCCUCCCCCGCGAAUUCCGGUUCAGGGAGGCAGGGGGAAUCAAACAAUAGCGCCAGGCAAAACGAGAAGUCGAGCACAAAGUGCCGUGCUCGAGCCUGUUUAUGCACUAAGCGAAACCGUGCGUUCCAUCGAUCACAGGAUUCGUAUCUUAGCAUUUGUUCUCGCCGAUAAGUCCUGGCCUAGCUAGCUAAUGUAUGUCCUCACUCACGUCUACUCGCAGGUCAGGUCAGGUGGGCAUGUUCUGUGACGCGCACUGUUUGCUUCAGAGACGACACAACAUGCAUGGGCAGGAUCCGGAGGAUUUACUCUAGGCUUAGGCUUACGAAGAAGCAGCACCUAAUGCUGAUUAGGGUCGCAAGUAGCCUCCAAGCAGGCAAGCACCGGUCAUUUUGGCAUCUGCCUGUCUUUAUUCCUGGCUUGCACAUCAUUGACGCUAUAUCUCACGGUCCGUAUAUGGUCUAUACACUGGAGACGGGCAGGGUAAACAAAAUCCCUUGGCACUAGGGAUAUGCUUGGAGCUGCAAGGUUCAGUUGGCAAUCAAAUCUCGAGGUCACUAGCUAAGCUAAGCCACUGCCCUGCGGCUAAGGGCGAACUUAUAGCUCUGACGAGGGGCACCAAGCAUGCAUUAUAUAUCUUCUGAAAUCUAACCCGUGCAUGCCUAACUUCUUUGCGGAUUCGGACGGGCGUGAGCUCAGACUUAUAUACUAGUGGUCCGAUCUUUUUAUCUGGAGUGGUUCAGAAGAAGUCAAAACGCUCGCAUGAUUCGGCCCGUAAACCCGCUGUUUUCGGCUCAUCCAGACCAGACGAGCACAUCCCCAAAGUCGUUUGUUUUUAUUCCAGACAAGAAUCGAAACUUCGAUCUAGCAUCGAUCCAAUCGAUUGGUUGGACUUGGAGGCGAUAUAAUGCGGUCGACGCGACGACCUUGCACGUACGUACGGACGGCAUGGCAUGAACGUACGCUCUGGGAGGACCAUAACUCCAUAAGUGCACCUCUCACUUUCAGGAUUUCCCAAGAGAGGCAAAUAAUCAGGUCACGACAAGAGAGAGGAGAGGACCAAUAUGCAAUGAUGAAUCGCGCCAUUGAACUCCAAAAGUUCUCUUCUCGGUCGCCCGGCCUUAUCUCUCCCCGGCCAUGACCAUCUCGAUCUUCUGAUAGGACCACCCACAGCGUGCGUGCUUGUGUCCCGUCCUCGUCGUCCGGAUACCAACUACUGGUGGCGCGCGAUGCAUAUAUAUCACCUGCACAAUAUUAUUAUAUAUAUGAGCAAAUUUCACAAAAUCACGUUUUUUGUGGCAGUCGUCUCACGCAACCAUAGUGUUUUUUUUACGAAACAGCCGCAGCGAGCUAUUUAUUGUCAAUAGAUGGUUGAGAGAAUUAACACCGGGAGAAAAAUACACAGGGAAAUACAAAAGGAGAACGAGCAAAAAGGGAGGGUGUUUAGAUUACAGGAGGCCAAGAACUGAUGAAAAUCAUGGGACAUCAUCUGAUCCGGAUACCAGCUCACCAAGACCGGCACCAGCCUGGGUCCAAAGGGCAGCCUCCUCCAUAAUGAGGGUACAUACAGUUGAAGGCCGAAGAAGUUUGUGCUGGAAAAUUCACCGUUUUCGCUCCUUCCAAAUUUCCCACAUGGUAAGCAGAAUGAAUGACGCCGUAGCCUUAGCACGCGGCUUGCCCAACACAUGCGCAUAGGAGGAGCGCUCAGUCCAGCAAGACUUGAUCGAAGAUACGUCCAAGGACAGCUAGUCUCAAAAACCCCAAUCUCGAUAAUUAAGAUGGUUGAUAGAGUUUCCGACGACCCGGGGCCGCAACUUAGAUGCCGCAUCAUCCUUUCCAACCCGUUUUCGAUGCCACAUCAGCAUCAAAAUCAACAAAGCUCUUGCAGAGAAAGGUAGAAUUGCAGAGUCACCAAACAAGAGCUUUGUUGAUUCUGUGAAAUUCUGUGAAAUUUACUCAUAUCAUAUCGAUCCGGCCGUGGGCUCGAUCUGGCGGGAACGGAAGAAUUAAACGAGAGCUAGCGCGCUGAAUGUGUCCAACAUGGCGACGAGAGAUCGAUAGAAGCAACCGAUUCGUGGUGCCUUGGGGAACCAAGCAUUUAGACGAGCCGGCAAUAGAAGUUUGUUAGGCACGACAGCUCCGGCAGCACAUGGGCACACGCACGCACGCAAGCAAGCAUCACAGUUGCGGGUUACUCCGUACAUUAGAGCCUGCGUAUAUACGCCGAAGCACGAAUACAUCACCAACCUUAAGCGCGUCUGUAAUCUGUACCUGGUAAGAUGCAUAUCGGGGAGACUGAGGGAUGAGAUAAUUGAGAGGUUUCUGCUGUGCGCCGUCCGUACGUGGCGUCGCUCACAGGGCGAUUCAUGUCGACUUCCGGGAUCUACGAAAGCAACGGGCGAGGAUCGAUCCCUUCUGUGCGCCCUACCGCGCUGUCUGUUCAGUUUCCUGUCAUGCUGUCUUGCCUCGCCUCUUGGCUGAAAUUCACCGUUUCUAGGUGGGUGAGCGGUGCCGUCAGUAUAGCUUCUGAUCUCCUCGUGACGUGAUAUGUGCAUCCCAGACCCUAAAUCUCAACAGUUUCAACCAGGUCGGCACGGCAUGCAUCAGACGAAGAACCACGACUCGGUCUUCUCUUCUCUAGGCUCUAGCUUGAUUAAUUAAUUGGGCCUCUCUACUGUGCUGAGCACAGUAGUUUGAUAAGUGUUCAACUCGAUAUCGAUUGGCCAUCGACGACCGACCGAUCGUACGUACACGAAUUCAUGCAUCACCACCGGUCACAGAUUCACCUAACAGUUAUUAAGCCUAGUGCUAGAGACAGGAACGUUUGCUUAAGAAGUAGUACUGCUCGAUCGAUCUAGCACUCACGAUGGAUACGUAUCGGUCGACAAGCACUGCCGGGUGUACGAUGACUGUACUGCGUAGAGCUCUUUGACUUAACAAAUCAACAAGCGGCAGUACAGCGAUGGGUCCUCUGUGGAACCAGUUUGGAUCGAGCUCAGUCAUCUUUCUUCUUAGUGAAGAAUCGCUGUACCGGUCGUUUGUACAUAUGCUCCGUCAGUGUAAUUAAAAUGAACUAAGCUCUAAUUCUCAAUUCAUUAGUCAGAGCUGAGGUGGAUUGUGGAAGUACGUAUACGCCACCGAUGCAUGACGGCAGACCAUAUAACCCGACACGUUCCAAGCAGAUUCAUGCAUGCUCCUUGCGCUAGGCGGACCAGUGACAGUGAGAAACUGAGAAUCGACGAAAUCGACCAUUCUUAAGAGUAUAUAUAUAUUGCGGUUUAGAUUGCAGUUUAGACGAGGUAAAGUGGCAUUCGGCUGCAUCCAGGUGUUGUCGUUUGUGCACGUAACGCAUCAGAGUGACCCACACAAAGUUCGCGGUUUCGAUAGACUACGGGUGAUCGUUGCAACUGAAUUCUGCAAUUUAUCGGCGAUCGAACAGAAUAGGUUUUUUUUUAACGGUUUUGUUAUUUCUUAGAUGACUAAGAAAUAAUAAUUUUUUAGUCGAUGAUAACAAACUUUUGAUUCAAUCAUCGAGAUUCGUGUAAGAUUAAUGUAACUCUGACGGAUAAAAAAAAUCAUUAAAUGGUUACGAUUGUAAACUGAAAAAUAACUAUUUUUUAGAGACCGUAAAAUAUACGCUCCCUUUUCAAAAACGGAGGGAACAGACAAGAGUAAAAUCACCAUUUGUAAACGGUAUUGAUCGAACCACCAUGUGACCAUGGUAAACAGUCUUAGGAGCAUAUCUUAACACGAUCCGUGGGACAUAAUUUGUCAGAUCACUGUGAUAAUUGCUUCCAUGUCAGUUUGCUGCACCGCCCGGCCAGCACUGACGUACGUGCGCGCACCUGCUCAAAAUUGAAAUGUCCGGACUGACAACAAAAGGCCAAGGCACCGGAUGCCGGGUGUCCGAUGUAGCUGAACCGAUCUCUCUUCGUGCACACGACACACGCGCCGAUAUGCGCAGUGUUGAUACUCUAAAAAAAAUAUGCGCAGUGUUUUGACCGUAUGACCGUGUCCUGUCAUGGGGGAACGUACGUCAGGUCGGCCAGCGUCGGUGCGUGGGAGUACGGGCGAGAGCCAAUGGACGGCAUGGUGUACGGCAAAGCUGCUCCGAGCGAGCCUAGGUUGCGGGACAAAACAGUGCACCGCAGCGUGGCGCAAGCACGUCCGUGCGCAGUACGCGGGCUGCACGGCGCGCACGGCGAGAGCGGCCGUGUGCCGUGGCCGGCAAGAGGGCCCCCGGCCGCUCGGGCUUAGCUUGUUUCGUUACGGCCAGAAAUACGCAUAUACGUGGGUAUGAUAUAUGAUACUACUUGUUUCUGCUAACAUGCCAAAUGUACAGUGUCAUGUAUUCUCUCCUCCAAUCCUCGUGCACCUAAAACGGGCAUGCAUGCGAGCCCCGCACGGAUGAGCGAGACGACGUGGGUAGUAGGGCAGGGCAGGCGGGAGAAAGCGACCGCGGCUUGAAGGGGCGACGCGACAGCCGGGACGUACUGUAUACCCAGUGGAUCCCCACUCUCCCUCCGGCCACAUCGCGCCGUGCCUAAUCAGCAGCGACGUGUACGUACACGUUGAUGCACCAAUCAGAACACAAAUCAAACACGCGCAGGCCCGGAUCGAGAAAUGUUUCUCGCCACGAGCACGACGGGUUUCCGCCUGACUCGACGUACGUAGCUGCAGCCACGUGCGUGCGUGCGUACUGAUCAUCCAACAAGAACCAGGCAAGGUAAUAAUAACGCCACACGUGCGGGGUAUGCUGAUAUAUAACGCGCGGGGCACGACGUGCCGGACGCAACAACUUUACCUGACCGAACGGGCAACAUACAGCACGGGUCGCUAAUUGCCAUGGGUACGUACGUACACGUACGCAUGAUAGGAGUGCUUGAACGUGACGCCGACGUCCGCGGCUCGAUCGGGCCGGGCGACCGGCCGGGAGGCGUCCACAGUUCGCCCAAUUAAUUUCAGUGUGUCAUGGACUCUACGACACGGUCGACGUCUCGUCUCCAUUCCGGCCCUGCUGGUGAUCGAUAUGCGCCUGUGCCCUCUGGAGUCCAUGUCGAUCCCCCACAGGCCCAACCUAGCUAGUUGUGGGAAUGAGUUUUUGCCCGCAGGCCAUGUCUUGGCCGCGCGCUAGCUAGCUAGCUAGCUUCUCCUAACUUAGCUUGCUGUGCCAAGACGGUACAACUAACAGUCUAUGGACACGACACGUUAACAUACUCCGUGUAUAUAUGUUUGUUCCAUGCCUUGCCGUACCAUGUAGCGUAACUAGCAAAGGACGAGCUCAUCAGCGCCUUGAAAAGUCCAAUGACGUAUCUCUAAACCAUAGGAACGAGUGUGAAGAUUACCCAAAAUUAAGCGGGGUGCAACUUAACUAUCUCUUGAAUCUGGAAGAUGUGCACAUAUACCGACUACGUACAGAUUAUGCAAUUGCAAUAGGACCGUGUGGCUUGUGCAAUAAUUAAUCUUCUCCCGGGAGAUCACAUAAGUUAGUUAGGAAUGUUUGCCACGAUACUGUGACAAUCGACAUGUUGCGUUCCAGAAAUAGAAGCCAAAGUGGUUGGUUGUAUAUGACCACGUUGAAUGAAAGCCAAAAAUGUCAUCCCAGAUCAAGAGGCGCAGGUUCAUCCACGGUGCUCCCACUUGCCCUGCCUCUUCCGGGCAACACAUCUUAAUAAGUCGCUGCAACUCUUGUGGCCUUGCCCUCCAGCACCUCUAAGUAAAAGAUAGUAGGCUCUAGUGCAUUGUUGGUUCGGACCUAAAUUCAGCUCGCCAUGCAUAUAUAACUGUACCUGGAAACGGAGGUGCCCGUGUGUGUCUCCUUUUUUGAAAAGUUAAUAUGUGGGGAUUGUUUUAACUCAUGAUAUCCGUCAUGCUCUUCAUUUUUCUCACAUGUUAAACCAUUUCGAAAUUUUGACAAAACUUGCAAGGCAUGACACAAAUAAAAUCGAUAAUAGUAGUUUAGACAGGUUAGUGUGCCCUAUAACAUGCACGAUACAUACCAUCUAUGCGAUAAUAGUUUAGCCAUAUAUACCAAACGAAUUUGUCCGCCUCUCCCGUAUCCGAUGUCUUCUCCUUUUUCUGAAAUUACCAUCUAUGCGCUUUUUCUGCCUCCUCUUGCCUCGUUGAAAUGCCAUCCUAAAACCUAACCGACGUCCACCAUCGACACCGACAUCAUCGCCUCGUUGGCAUGCUGAUCUAUAUGUUCAUAUAAGCUUGUUAUGUGCCCACGAGUCCCCAGGGGUAACAGUCAGCACCUGUCGUAUCUGGCAAGCUCCUUCUUCACUAUUCCUUUUGCGCUGCUCCUCCUCCGCCACCAUUUGACGACGCUUGGACAAUUCGCUAAUAUAAACACAUAAUGACUGUCCAUUUGAAUGGAUGAUACACCUGCUACGGUGUGCCGUAGCAGAAAAAAAUGAUUGUCUAUUUGAAUUUGCAAAUAUAAAUAAUAAAAACACGAAACAAAUUUGGAUGCAAGAAGCCCAAAACACGUUGCCGAUCGAGCAGAAUGAUCUAAGCAAACAUCCUAAGGUAUGGUUGCACUCAUGGGCCCAUGAGGUUUCUAUAAGCGAGUACACUUGGAGGUACACGCACACGCAUUUAGCGGUGAACAGUUGGUGAGAAGGGGCAUUUUCGUCAAUCUAGCAGGGCUAGGGGUAGUUCCGUAACUUAAGGUUUCGGCCGGGCCAACGACACGGCCAGCCGCCAGACGUCGAUGGAGGUGCAGAUAUUUACCCGCAAUCCUUGUGUGAUCAGAGGCGAAGCUCAGCGGAUGGAGCUCUUGCCGCUCCCAGCUCGUCCAGACGCAGCACACCACAAACAAAGCCCACAAAUGAACGAGCACAACGUACAGGCGCUCGAUCUCCCCUAGAACGUUCUAGUCUAAACACCACGCAGCAGCCCCCCACUCAUGCAGGACUUCCAGUCCAUCCCGGGCCUCGCCGGGCGUCUGUUCGGCGGCGCGGCGGCGGCGGCGGACAUCCGGCGCGCGCAGGGCGCGGCGUCGUCUCGGUGCGGCGGCGGGUUCUCGCAGGAGGUGGUCAAGUGCCCGCGGUGCGAGUCCACCAACACCAAGUUCUGCUACUACAACAACUACAACCUCUCCCAGCCGCGCCACUUCUGCAAGAGCUGCCGCCGCUACUGGACCAAGGGCGGCGUCCUCCGCAACGUCCCCGUUGGCGGCGGCUGCCGCAAGUCCAAGCGCAGCUCCUCUUCCGCCACGCCGGCCUCGCCCACUGACGCCAACAACGCCAACUCCAAGACCCAGCGCCGUGCUUCGUCGUCCUCCCGGGACUCCAACAGCAACAGCGGCAGCACGAGCCCCACGGCCACACCGUCGUCCAACACCACGCCAAUCACUUUCGCGAAUCCCUUCGCGGGAGACGUGCCACCCCCGGCGCCGAUAUUCGCGGACCAGGCCGCGGCGCUCGCGUCCCUCUUCGCGCCCCCGCCGCCGCCGCCUCUCCCGGUGUUCAACUUCUCGCCGCAGCCCAAGACGGAGGGUUCUGCAAUCAGUUCCGUGGCCGUGCUGCUCGCGGCUGCAGAACCGGAGGCGCCUACCUCGGUCUCUGAGUCGGCUGCCGCCGCCGCUGACAUGGCGCCGUUCAUGUCCCUGGACAGCACGGGCAUCUUCGAGCUCGGCGACGACGCGUCGGCGGCCUCGUACUGGAACGCCGGGAGCUGCUGCUGGGGAACGGACGUCCAGGACCCGUCGGUCUAUCUACCCUAGCUUUGUUUUUUAGUUACUCAUCCAUCGCGAUCGCUUCAAUUAAGCUGUGGUUAAUUGUGCUCUUAAUGACGGCCAACAGCUGGUAAGUACAUCGAUCUACUACGUACAUGCUCAUGCUGUGCUGUUUUGCUGCCUCUGUACCUUAUUUUCUUGACUUUCUGUGGCGGCACCUGCACCUGCACAGCACAGGUUGUGAAACAAAGCUAACCAUCGUGUCGCUACAACUGAAUCACAUCACCACUCUUGUUUAUCUCUGAAUUUCCAAAUCUUCCUCGGUUCCUUGGAUGUCUUUAACCAGGAAUUUGUUGGAUGAAGUCUUCCAUCCAUGCACAGUACUGUAUUUCUAAGUUGCAUCGAAAACAUUUAUUUCGAGGUCGAUAAAGUUUGCACAGGAAUUUGUGUUCAAGUUUUAACCACGCGUGAAAACAUUUCUAAAUUUAAAGUUGCCCACGGGUUUCAGAGUACGCAGCUACUCGAUUUCUGUUAGAUAAAGACUGAGGCGAUCAAAAUUGUUGACCUAACACUCUCGAUCUUUUGACGACAUUGGAACGGUCAAAGCUAGAGAGAGAUGAUUAAGCUUGUUUCCCCCCCCCCCCCCCCCCUGAAGACCAUGAACUGAUUAAACAAGCCAUUUCAGUUGAGUGGUUGAUUUGUUAAGAUUAGGUGCUCUCGGCCGUACGUACAAUACGUACGCGCCUUUCGCUCUCCGGGGAGUUUGUGUUGAUGGAGACGGCACCGGGCAAGCUGGCGCUUACGUACAGUGCAUCUCUGUACGUCCGCUAGGGCGGCCGGCCCCAGCCUCGAUCGGCAUGGCGCGACAUCCCUCCGUGCUUGGCUAAAUCGCGUGCGCCCUCACGCCAACUCCACUUCCUUCCCCGUGCCUAUGUCACGUACCACAACGAGCCUCCUACCGAACUGGACCCGAGAGGCAGGCAGGCAGGCACGAGGGACCGCAGGCCGAUCCGGUGUGGCUUGGGCGCGCACAGCCAAUCUGUCAGUGGGGUCAACGUCGCGUUGACCGUCCCUGUUGCCCUCUGCCGCAGCGCACCCAUAAUUUGCCGGUCGGCCCACUCCCGGACCGUCGGAUCGGAGUUGUGUGGUUCCGAUCCGUCCGAGAAAAAUCGUCUCUGCCGACUGUCGUUGAAGGCCCGUGCGUAACAUCAGAACCAGUGCAACCACACACUAAUGCGUCGUCAGACGACGUCGGUUGCUUGAAUUUUUGAGAUGGCACCAGUUCGAAGGUGCUCGACACGGUCUGUCGAGCCUCCAGUUCGCGGUCAUAUGUUUAAAUUUUCCGAUCGAGAAUUAAUCAUGGCAGUGAAGAUUUUCCAUCAAGUCUACGAAGUUGACGGGAAACUGAAACCAGCAAAGCAUGAUAGCCGUCCGUCCAGGGAAGAAAGAAGAACAGGAUCCUACCUAAGGAUCUACGCAUGUCAUUCUUGGUAGUACAAGAUGCAUGCAUCGGCCUACCGAACGCACGACCGUCGCCCAUGCCCUGCCCAUCAUAUAUACGGAGUAGCUUGCAUCAGAGGUGAACCGAUUAUCUGUCAGACGUAUAUAUACCUGCCUAUAUCUGCUCUCGUGUAUAUAGUUGUUGUAAACGAAUAACCAAAACAAACACGACAAGCAGAUAUAAUAAUAUAUAUACGAGCCAAAUUUAUUUCGGCCCUGGAGUGCUGCCAGCUAGCAAGUGAGCCAUGAUUGCUUCUGGCUAAAGAAAUUCCUCCGCAGCGGAGGUCGAGUUUAUCGAUUGUGUACGGCCUACGAGAGACGGAGAGAGGCUGUGUGCAAGGGCAAGGACAAGGAUUCUCGCGUCAAUAUUACUUGGCUCAACUGUUCCGCCACGAGAUGAUUGACCCACCGCGAUGAAAGGUCCAGCGGUUGCGUCUGAACAAGGCACUGAGCUGUAAAACUGUGCAGCAAGACCGUGCCAUGCUGCCGUGUCCGACCCGAUCGAGCCAUCCACGUCGCGGUCGCCGGUCGCGUCAGGGUUGAAGCCUUUCCGGUGACUGCUCCCUCGGCUAGGCUACACACACCGGCCGGCGCCACGACAAUCCAACAGAAAACAAAAUAUCAGGCAGCUGAUCUUGACCGAGAUAUAAUCUGUUUCCUGUGUGAAAGAAGAUGAACUAGCGAGCACCACAUCUCUGAUGAACUCAUGAAAGACACACUUGGGUUUUGGCCGGCGGACGCGACCCGUGCGUUGAAAAAUCCGGCGCUCUAAAGUUGUGCCGGGGUGGUGCAGCCUGCAGCAAGUUUAUUCCAGUUCUGCCUUGCUCCAAGGGAACAGUACACCGCGGUACGAAGGAUAUGGAUAUAGGAAUUCUCAGGGAACAAUGUCAUAGAUACGGUAUCCUCGGCUCGCUGAGGAAUUUUAUGGCCAUGUUCCCGCUGCCACUGGCACUGCCGCACUGCGGCGGAGCCUGUGACAUCAGCCACAGCCCACAGGCACAGAAGCACUAUCGUUCGUGCAUUUACAGCAAGAAGAGGCGCAGGUCGCAGGAUAGUACUCCACUGCUCGUCGUUGCCGAUACUGUUCGGAAGUUACUAUAGAUCCCUGGAAGUAACUGGGGAUCCAUCACUUGGGCUGGGUCCAGUGACUGCGUCGCUGCAGUGCAAGCAGGAGCAGGAGUGCAGGACCGACGAAGAUGCUUCAUGCUAGCACUCCAGUUCUUCAGGGAUGCAAUACUGCAUUUCUGCAUGUCUUAACUGUUUUUUUUUUCAGGGAGGAUGUGUUAACUUUUCACCCAACCGAAGUACUUCCAUAUUUUUUGUCGGAAUAUUACAUGUGUCUAGACACAUUUUAGGGAUAGAUACAUUCACUUGUGGACAAAUUUGAGAUAAGAAUUAUGAAACGGAGAGAAUAGUUUGUGUACUGCAUAGUGAAAAGAAAGGUCAUUGGUUCAAACUCGCUUAACUGAUAAAAUCACUUUCGUCUCAAGUUAGCAAAGUUCUGUUUGCAUGGCAGAAAUGUCCACUCGGCCAUGUGAGAACUAGCGUCCAUGAUUGUAAAUGAGGCUCCGUCACUAUUAGACUACACCACACAAAUCAUUGAGAUGUAAGUAAAUAAUACUCCAGAUUAUACAACUUACAAUAGUAGUAUAAUAUUCUCUUUAAAUGUGUAUUGUAUUUUUUGGAUGCUUGUAUAUUUUUUAGUUCUUAGCAACACACGGUGUGGUAGUUUAACAUUUUCUCUCUCCUACCGUCAGAAAAGAAGAAAUAAAAUAUACUCACAGCUGACCUGUGCUGAUGUGGAGUGUUUUAAGGCCCAAUUUCACGAAAAGGCCGUGUCCACAAAUGCAUUUGAUUUGAGGUCUUCUACUACCUAGCAGCCCAGCCUGGCCCGUGGAGACGUGCCACGAGCCUUUGCGGGCGCAGGCCGCGCGGCCACUCGCCCUGCAGUCAGAUAUUCAGAUCAUCUCUACAUCCGCUGUUGGCCUGUUGCUAAAAAAUACUCCUAAGUUAGCUGAAGACUGAAGUGAACGUACAAGGAGUCACCGUGUGAGAUUGAAUCGCACUGCACUGCACUGCUGCAUCUUCUUUUCCUUCUUCUUUGACAUGCUUGGAUGUUGUAAGUAACACUGCGUGAGUUGUAUAUAACACUGCCCCCUGCUUGACAGCUUGAGGUUUCCCUGCCAUGUGGUCGGUCUCGUUUCAUUCGCAUCUUUGCUUGAACGGAUUGCACAUGCUUCUUUUUCAAGGUAGUGCCCUGUGAAGAAAUUGAUGUGGAGGAAAAGCUCCGGAGAUCGAUUGGCCUUGAGAUGGAAGUAGCUAGACACUAGCCAUGUGGACUAAAGACACCAUGCUACGUUUGGUACCCGGGCAGCUUCAGCGCUGUUACACUGGUCUAGUCCAUUUCGGGUCGAUGUAAUGGAUCUUGUCGUUGGAUCUCCCGGGGCCUCUUUUCUUAGAUGGUCGUACAAAAUCCAGAACCAAGGUUAAUGGACAACAAUAUACAGGCCUUUCCCAGUAUUAGAGUGGGAAUUCACGGGCUCAAUAAGACUUGAAUGGGCCGAUCUGUGAUUUGGUUCACGAAGAACAAUAUACGCUGACGACCUGAUGCACGUCAGACUGACUACUGAACUACUUAAACCAUACAUAAUCAAAUGGUAAUAGCAGCAUCGCAUGGUUUCAGUAAAUUAGAUCAAGAUUUGGACCUGCAGAGUGAACAACGCAGAGAAGCGUGCACUUGGCUCACUUUCUCACCGUUAUACGUACAUGUUUGGACGAGAGGUAUUUCUUCAGAGAGAUCGGAAAUUUAGUUCAGAACUGAAACUAGACACACUGAAGUUCCAAAACAAACUCCCGGAAGUGGAUGCCACAUGCAUAAUUAGUCACCAGCGCCAAGCCUUUCCUUUCUGAAAGAUCGACCUUGAUGACAGCACAAAGCUAACGGCGAGUGUGCUCUUUUGUGAAGCCACCAUCUGCCAUAAAUAAGAGCCACCCACGGUUCAGAUCACUCUCUUGGAAAAAACGCUCGUCGCCCUUCUCUCAAACGGACACCUAAACCCCCCACGAUCGAGCACACCGGAGUCGGGCCGCACGCACGUUACACUACAGCAAUGCCGUCCCCCGGCGUCCUCACCGUCUUCCUCCUCCUGCUCCUCAUCUUCUCCGCUUCUCCCCUGACGUGCCACGCCACCCACAACAUCACCUCCAUCCUCGCGUCUCGCCGCGACCUGGCCGAGUUCAGCCGCCAGCUGACGGCGACGGGCCUCGCGGACGAAAUCAACGUGCGCAACACCAUUACGGUGCUCGCCGUGGACGACGCCCACAUGUCCUCCCUCAAGGCGCGCGGGCUCCACCGCGAGGCGCUCCGGCGCGUGCUCUCCCUCCACGUCCUCGUCGACUACUACGACGACGCCAAGCUGCACCGCCUCCCGGGCGGAUCCGCCGUCGUCUCCACCCUCUUCCAGGCCUCCGGCGACGCCCCCGGCAGCUCCGGCAUGGUCAAGAUCUCCGACCGCCGCGGCGGGCGCGUCGCGUUCCUUCCCCAGCAGCAGGACGAAGAAGCCGCGGACGACGCGCAGGCCGCCGCGGUGUUCUACGUCAAGUCGGUGCACGAGACGCCGUACAACAUAUCGGUGCUGCAGGUGAGCGCCGUGAUCUCGUCGCCGGCGGCCGAGGCGCCGUCCUUGCCAGAGUCGGCGAGGCCCAACGCCACGGACGUCAUGGCCAGGAACGGGUGUGGCCGCUUCGCGUCCCUCGCGGCUUCGGCCGGCGCGGCCUCGCGGUACGAGAAGACGAUGGCCAACGAUGGCGGGCUGACAAUUUUCUGCCCGGGGGACGACGCGAUGAAGGCGUUCAUGCCGGCGUACAGGGCGCUCAGCCGGGACUCGCAGCUCGCGAUGCUGCUGUACCACGGCGUGGCGAGGCACUACUCCUUGCCGGCGCUCAAGGCGAUCGGCGGGGCGAUGCGCACUCUGGCCAUGGACACCGGCAACAACGGCAACGACAAUGACAAGUACGUCCUCACGGCGCGCGAGGCCGGGAGCACGGUGACGCUGCUCUCUGCCGCGAAGGAGCCGGCCACGGUCACCGGCACGCUCAUGGACGCCGACCCCCUCGCCGUGUACAUCGUCGACGCGGUGCUGGUGCCCAUGGAUGGCUCGUCGUCCGGUUCAUUUGAUGGUACCGAGCAAGGCGGUGCCGGGGACGGGGGAGGAGAUGCUGCUGCGAAGAAGAAGAAUGCCGCGGCUACGUGCCGGCUGUCGUUCGUGUUGAUGCUUCUGCUGGGAGCAAUCCAAGUGGCGGCGCUCGUUUGAAGGGUAAUUGCAAGCAACUGUGUGAUGUGGAUUCCGGUGUUUGAUGAGUUCAUCGAUCUUUGUUCCGUGUCGGUUUUGGGGGGUGAUUGUUGAGUGCUUUUGGUUAUAUAGGUUCUUGAUGCGUUGGAUCGAACGUUCAUUUCAGUGGCUGUUGGCAAAAGAGAGGUUUGCAGGUUAAUGCGGGUCUGAUUCAUCUGCCUAUUAGUACCAUAUCCCCUGUGUUUAGUCCAGACUUUCCAGAUCUUGAUCUUGUGUCCUUGUGAUGUUUUGAACCGAUACACAGAAAUGCAUAUGCUUAGCUAGCUAUCUUCUGUUUGGCAAGUCUAUGGCCCAUAUUAUUACCAAGUACUCCCUCCGAUCCUAAAUUGUUGUCGAAAUAUUACAUGUAUCUAGACCGUUUUUUUAAGAAUAGACACAUUCAUAUUUGGGCAAAUUGGAGUCAAGAAUUUAGGAUCAGAGGGAGUAUCAAACAUCAUUCAACAUUCACACAACAUGAGAGAAACGGUUAUAGAAAACACUCAUGCUUCACAUAUCCUGCUGCUAGAGCUCUUCUAUGGUACCCUAUAAUAAAUAGGGACCGUUCAUUUGUAUAGAUCUAACGGCAGAUAUCCGUGUAUGCUGCUAGAACUAGACCGGCAGUACAUACACCGCUCAGAGGGCAAUUUGGAAAGAUCGAAAAUUUCCAGCCCGCGUGGACCCGACCUGGCCCACUCUCUCUCCUUCUCGUUCGUUCCCCUGCUCCCCUUCUUCUUCCCUGCGUGUGGAGCCGCCACGCCGCCGCCAUGCCCAUGGCCCUCCGUGAACCAUCUAAAUACUGCUGCACUAGUCGUUUGAUUCCGAUGUAUGAGAUACAUUGGUCGAGAUAACCAAGGCAUGGACAGAGCGGUGUGGGUAUGAGAUACAUUGGUCGAGAUAACCAAGGCAUGGACAGAACGGUGUGGGUUCAGAACCAGGAGAAGAUGUAGUAGCAGUAACUCAAUAUUUCAUUCCUGACAUAGAUAUCGAUGUACCCUUGUUCGAAUCAGAGUUCUUCAAAUGCUUGCUGUAACAUGAGAUUAACCGUGGUAACAGUAUGUGUCUAUAUCUCUCCAAUCUCCAUAUAGAACCAGGUAUGCCACUCAAGGUUUUAAUAGUUGACCAAAAAAAUAUCUAAUUAUAGUACCACCGCGCUAGGUGUGCAUCCCUCGUCUCUCUCCAAUUUCUUCAAUUUCUCAGGAACCCUAGGGCUGCCCGUCGAUGUUCCUGUUCAUGCGGCUGCCCGACCUGCCUAAACUUUUAGCCGUGGGGCCAACAAAGACAGUCAGAAUCUUUUACGGUUAAUUGAUUUAAAUAUCAAAUGUCCAUACUACCCUUAGAAAUCAACGGUGGAUAUAUACAUAUACUGCUCAUUGCCUCCUAGCAGUAGAGGGGUACCAUAAAAAAAGCUCUGCUGCUAACACGCCGUUUGUAAAAGCUGAAAAAGUCCAACACGAUCAUCUCCAAACGGGUGCAUCCAGAGUCCACAUCCAUGUCUACAUAUGGAGAGACAACUUACUCGUGAAACAAAACAUUGAAACAUACGCAACAUAAAAGUUGUAAGAUUGAAACAUUCAUUCGUAAAACAAUGUGGUGCGAUUAAAGACAUUUUUCCAUGUGGUGAAAACUAAAAUUUCAGACGGAAACUCAUCUGACCAAAAGCUAAAAAUCGAACUACAGACGUAAAGCAUUUUCCAAAAAGAAAAGAAGAAGAACAAAGCAAAUUGUACGGCACCGGGCCACCAACGACUGAGCUUCCUAUUACCAAGUAAAGGCAAUACGGGUUUCCAAAUCAAGAUAUCCAUCCACACAUGAACACUGUUGGUGCAGAGGACGCACCGCACUUGUGCGCAACUAAUCGCAAAAUCCAUCAAUUGCCUUUAUCCCGGAUGAGGCCAGCAACCUUUGGUCCUUUGCCGCUGGCUUCUGCAACCUCUCCAUCUCUAGCUAGCAUCUUUGCGUAGAGCCGUAUAGGCGAAGCACAUGCACGCCUGCGAGCCCCGGAUCCCGACCAAUUUCGAGCCGCCGACGUUAAUCGUCGACUCAAUGUGGACCGUGGACGCAUUGCACCUAGUUGGCAAGCAGAUCCGUUCCGGAUGAACGGUACGUGAGAGUGAGACAGAGCAGAACAUGAGCCCGGCUAAGCCAGAUCACUUGAUUCUGAGUUCAGUGUGCGUGACCGACGGUAGCUUUGGACCCGCUCCCUUUGUUGGCCAGCCAGGCCCGAUCCAUGGAGCAAGAUUUUAACUGUAGCCGCACCGGCGAGUUAAUUUGCUUGCCUCGUACGCUUUGGAUCGAUCUCGCCAGAAAGGCUUAAUUUAACUGCCUUUGCCUGCGAGAGCUGUGCACAGAACGCACUUUGUUGAAAGAACGUAGGUUCGUAGCCGUGUAGCAACAGUAAAGUCUGUAAAAGAGAAAGCAGGCGAAGAAGCAAAGGCGGGGGCUUCUGCGGCGCGCGAGCUGGACUGGCCGGGCAUGCAUGUGUCGUGUCGUGUCAUCGUCGGUCUUGCGCGUACACCGAAGUCGGAAAGAUGGGCACGUUAGGACUGUGAUCGAUCUGAGGGCGCAUGCACGCACCGGCUUUAGCUGUUUCUUUUUUUUUUUUUUUUGAGGGCGGAUGCACGCACCGGCUUUGCCCGCUUCGCCUCCUCAUCCCGUCCGGCAACACUGGGCCUGGUCAGGAAAACAUGGCCCAUGACUCCCGCGUACUCAUCAUUUGGGCCAUCUGUCUAAGCCCGGUCAUAAGUAAUGGCUCACAAUGAAUAAUACUCCAGCUUUCUGGGAACCAUAGCUUUCUUCGGUCUGUUCUUUCUUCGAUUUCAUGUUGAUUGUUUUCUGGGAACCAUAGCUUUCAUUUUAUAGUAGACAACAUGAAUACAGUCAUGCUGAAUGCAUGUUGCCAAGAAGCUAGAGAUUUCGUCCGAAUCCAAGCAAACACAUAUUGGCCUGAACUCUGAAGGAUGUUUUGCCAAAAUAUGCGCAACCAUGUUCAUAGCACGCCUUACAAAUACAGCAUCAACAAAAAGGAAAAUCCUGCUAAGCUCUUCAAUUUGCAUAGUCCUUUUCCGCCUAUGACAUUCCAAUAUCUUGAUGUACUAAUGGCCCAUAGUCAUGCGCAACAACCUAAAUGCCACACCGGAUGAUUGUUUUGUCGUUUAUGUGUCGGAUGUAUUAUGUGGCUGUGUGCAUCGCUCCGAUGCAGAGGCCGGGAGCUCCCCCUUUUCGAAAAAAAAUGUGUCGGAUGCUCCCACCGGAUAAUCUCUUUGUCAACGUUAUUGUGAACGGAAGACCGGACCUUAUUUUGAUGCUUAUGUAUGAGGAUUCGUAUUGGAUCAAAUUAUUUAUGAGCACCCAUAUAAGAUAUAAAUAGAUCACAAUUUGUUAAAGUACUCGUUGUCACUAUGUCAUCAAACGUACGUGCGCUCGCCAUAAUUUGUUGCGUCCAAUGAGGCAACGGGAAUAUGUUGCAGCCUUUUUGUCGGUGAAUCAUAAUUUUCUCUUUCUAUUUCGAAAAACUAUCACUUCAUAAAUGUUGCAUCACUAAAUAAAUUUGUUGCUAACCAUGCCAGUGCGACCAUUUUUCAUGAGUCUUUUUGUUUAAUGGGUUUGGUGAGUUCCUUUAUCGUGUAACUUUAUUAGCAUUGUGCUUUGGAUAAAAGAAAACCUGAAUAACCUUAAGAACAUUCCAGCCAAUCCCCCCACAGUGGCUGGCUCGAAAUGAAAGAUAAAGGAUGUAAAAAAGAUUAAAAAUAUAUACAAAAAAUAAUAAAGAAAUAACAAGUAAAUAGAUGGUUAUCUUCAUUCUAGGAAAAUAUUUAUGUAUGCAAUUAAUGAUAGUCAAAAGUAGAAAGACGAUAUCUCCAAAACACUAACAUUUAUGUCCGCAGUUAAUCAUUGGUCACAAGUAAAGAUAUAUAUGACAUAUCAAAAACCAAAACAUUAGUGUCUGCAAUUAAUUAAAGAUCACAAGCAAUGAGAUGAUAUCUCCAUUCGAGGGAAACUAAUAAUUGUCUACAGACAAUUAUAGAUACCAGAAAGAAUAUCGAGCGAGCUAUGCCGUUGACUAUAAAAACUACACAGGUUUAGGCAGUACAGAUGUGCAAUCCAGAGUAGCCUUAGUACGACAAAGGAAGAUUCAAUUUGAGCAUAAGCACAAAAAUAGCAGCAAUCCAAGGGAAGAAGGUGUCUCGGUAUUGUUCUAUUCACUUCAUUUGUAUUCAUCACUGUAUGUCAUAUAAGUAUGCAUGUGUGGUAGUCUCGAAAUCAAGUAAUCUCGGCGUCCCAGAUCUAGCUUUGUUUCGUGUAUUAAGGUGAAUUUCGGCAAUCUAAGUUUAAGCUUUCUCGAGUGUUUGUGUGCAUGCGGUACUGCACUGAGACUAAAUAAAUGAAUCUAUCAUAUCUUUGUUGCAAUCUGGAACUUUGACACUACUGUAAAUUCAUGAUUUAACUAAGCUGCAUACAAUUUACAAUAAAUUUGCUGCCAGGACAUGAGCAACAAGGCGGAGGUCAGGGAGCCGAGGACCGGCACCGGCUCGCAGUUCAUUUUGCGACACCAGCACGUCACCUUCGAGGCCCUCUAUGACAUAGAUCCCGACAUCCCACAGUGCGUCCAGCGCACCAUGAAUGAGUGCAUCCUAGACCUGACCUGCGAGGUCGUCUUCCAGGCCGCAGAAGAGUGCAGCCAAGGCCGGCGCAAUGUCAUCUCGGCAGAUGACAUGGAGCGGGCGAUCGACAUGGCGACGACCGGGAACACGGGCUGGGCACGGCCGCUGCGGGAGCGUUUCUACCUCCUGAGAAGAGAGAUGGAUGCUGUCAGGCGAGCUCGGAGUCAUCCGGCUCUCAGACGCCGUGGAGGUCGACGUGGUGCAAGUGCAGCAACAACGGGCACCGGGGCAGGGACUAGCUCUAGCGGCGGCCAAGCCAACGACGCCCAACCUGCUGCUCAAGAGUAACGUCCAGACUCCAGAGGAGGGUUUAGCGGCAAACCAACUUGCUGGUCAACAGAAACGUCGAUGACGACAUUGUAUCCGUUUUAUUUUUGGGUCUUGGGACCUGCGCAAUGUUUCAUGUUUUUUGUUUUGUUUUGUUUUUGAGUGAGAGGAUUGUUUCCCUUCAUGAUUUGCGUGUAGGUGUACAUGUACCAUGGAGUUGAACAUAACCUCACUAGGAGUAACUUUUUUUGUUGCACUUGCGAAUAAAUAUAUUUGCAAUUUAGUGUUGAGUCAAAUGUUACAUGACAUCCGUGGUUGAUGAUUGUCCACAGUACUCGACUACUAAGUAAAAUGUCUUUUGGCUCAUGGGAUUUAGGGAUCCUUUAUUUGGAAAAAAUAUACUUCAUCCGUCCAACAAAAGAUGUUUCAAAUUUGACAAAAUUUGGAUGUAUCUAGACAUGACUUAGUGUAUAGAUAUAUCAAAUUUAGUCAAAGUUGAGACAUCCUUUAUUGGACGGAGGAAGUAUCAUAUUUAUAAGUUCUAAAGAAUUCUGAAAUUUUUCUUCAUGGCAAUCAUGCUUGAACAGCCAUAUUGCAUACGGGGGCUGCACCUGCAAUAGUUUAACCCCAUCUUUUUGUGGUGAGAUGUUGUCAAUUUUAUUUUUGUUUGUUUGCGUGGUCUAACUAAAUCUCUGGGUAUCAUGUAGUGAUGCUAUAUUAUUACUAUAAGAAAAUCUACCCUCGGAACGAUUGCUCCCUAGCUAGCGUCUUAGGGAUCAGUGACAUUCGAGUGUUGUCCAGUCGGGUGGAGAAGAGAAUGGAUCCGUCUUGGAAGAGGAACAAAGGGAUAAAGAAAAAGGGAAUGCAAAAAAAAGGGAACAAGGAAGAAGAGGGAAGGUUCCUUCAAAACAAAAAAGGGGAAGGAAGAUUGACCGGCAAGCUCGACUCCCAGUAACAGGCACCCUUGAGGACAAUCAACGCCAUUGUGCUUAACAGGGAUAGUUCAUAUGGCGGUUAUAGUGACUCGAUUUGUUGGCAGCAAUAGUCAAGGCAAGAGGAAGGGGUGGAGGAACAUGAAGGGCAUGUAUGGGGGGCAGAUCGUAGCGAUAACUAGGAGAGUUUGGUCAGGGAGGUGGAAGAUAGGGCAAGCCAGCAGUAGAAGAGGAGAUGAGGGAUGUCAAGAAAUACACAUAGUACGUAGCGAGGCAAUUACCAUAGAUAUAAAUGCCACAACGUAUUAGGGUUUUGUCAUCUUUGUGUCGGUUGCUAGCUCUGACGAGAUAAUUUCCUCACCAUCAUUAUUGUGGAUGUUCAUCAGAUAGGAGGAGGAUAGUGCAACUAAGAGGUUAAGGAGGAGUAGCGAUAAGGAUAGUAACUGCUAACCAAGCAACAGUCAUAGAUAUAGAGCUUUUACGGUACCCCGAAUUUAAUACAUACCGUUUAUUUGUCCCGAUCAUUGUAUAAUUUGGCACUCCACGGUUGAUUCUAUGCAGUACCUUGAUUUGGAGGGUAAAAUAGUAAUUUGGGGAGGAUAUUUUAAUCUGUCCCUUGCUAACCUGAAUCGUUACUUUCACUUUCCAAUAAAAAAGACAAAUGAUUCAGCUUUGACCUAACCCCGCCACCACUUGACUGGCCUACCACACCGGCGUAGCGGACGAAGGUGCGGCUGAAAGCAUUAGCGGCUCUGCCGAGCUCCUUCAUGCAACGGAUAAUGCGGUGCCGCCACCCACCCUUGCAAAUGAUCCCAUGCUAAUUAAGUUGGUUUGCUCUCGGAGGGUUGAUUCGGUGUAGUGGAUAGUAGUUUUGAUUUUUUUUUAUAGAAGUCGAUCGAACCAUGAGCAAAUUCAAUUCAAUUGCACAUAUGUGGAUGCAUUAUUUGGGAUGUGCAGAGAGAAUCGCUGGAACGCAAUUUGUGCCAUGAUUGAUUCAGCUAAUUAAACACUAAUCAAAUAAGCCAGUCAGGGUGCCUAGCUAGCUUUGAACAGAUCAGGUUGUUGAUGGCAUGUUGAAGGCGGCGCCCGAGAUGCCAGACUCCAGACGCCUAAGAUGAGACGGGUGACAUGCAUUACGGCGGAGGAUCGCCGCCCGUCCAUGGUGACGAAGGACGAUGAAAUUGUGUGCUAUCGGGAUUACCGGAGUAGAUUAAGAUAAAACAUAAUAUUACUCAUAAAUUAGCAAAAGAAAGGGACUAAUUUGCCCUUCAAUUGGAUGGCCAGAUGUAUAAACUCUAUAAAGUUGAAACCCACUAAGUACAGUUAAUUUAGCAAGCUGCGCAUGCGGCCUGUACACGUCAGCGUCUUUUAAUCAUCCACAUCAGCGUCAACCACAAUCCAUUAUUUUUCUCGAUUGGUGCUCAAUUCUUUCUGUAACUACUGCUAGAGUCUGUGCCGCCGAUUCAACUGUCGCGGGGGAGAUCUAGGAUGGGGGUGCCACCACGGCCCACGGGGGGGAUAGAAGAGGUGAGGGGAGCUGCCGUUGGGGAAAAUGGAGGACUAGAGGGCUCGGGAGAUAGAGGGGAGGGGGGGGGGGGGGUGUGCUGUAGGAGGGGAUAGGGUCCGCCGAUGUGGAAGAGGAGUAGAGGAUCUCAGGGCGCCGCUGCGCUGGGAGCUCGAGCGGGCGCCGCCGGUGGUGCCGCGGCCCGGUAUUCGCUGCCGCCGCAAUGGGAGGGGAUGGAGGCCGUCGCUGGAAAAGAGGAGGAGGGUAGGGUCGGGGGCAGCAGGGUCUGGUCUGUAGCAGGGGGCUUGAGCUAGCUAUAGGCGCGAUCGAGCAGAGCAGCAAGCUGCCGAGGACGGGAGGAAUAGGAGUAGCAGGCACGCGUGGUAAGAAUCGAGCAGAGCAGCUAGCAGGCGAGCGAGGACGCGAGGAAGAUGAGCAGCAUGCUAGUGGUUGGUCGAGACUUGAGAGUAGUUAGCCGUGCAGCCAGACAAUUUGCUGUUUUGAUGCAUUGCUUCUUUGUAGAUUUUUUUGAGAAAAGCCUUUUUUACAUUGCAUACUGCUAUGUCUCCAUGGAUGGUAAUUUGAUUAUUCGUAGGUAUGCAUUCGUCAUUAAAAUAGUACUCCCUCCGUCCCGUAUUAAGUGACUUUCUAUUACAUGUAUUUAGACGUUUUUUAGACAUAAAUACAUCCAUAUUUGGGAAAAUUUGAGUCACUUAAUAUGGGAUGGAGGGAGUAGUUGGAUUGAUAUUUAUAAUAUAUUAUUAAAAUAUGGGAGAGAAUAUACACAAUAUGUACAUUGACAAACUGCCAAAAAUUGAAACAUGUUGACAAGAAACCCUUUUAGACUAUUGUCGAUAUCUUGGUAUACAACCAAACAUAAACAAGUUGUUGAGGAUGAUCUAAACAACCAAGCUAGCUUUCUAAGAAAAUAAGCCAGAAAGAAUCGUCGCUCGAACACCAAACCACUUGUAGUAAUGAGAUUGGUAAAAAUCUCUAUUGUUUUGUCUAUUUUAAUGAAUGUUUUCUGAAAGUCAUAGUUUCUCAGGUGUUGAAUUAUAUGUGUACAUACACCAAUAUCAUAUUGUUAAUGCCCGGUUGUAUACCCAUAUCAGUUUGAUCGGAAAGACAAGUGACUCAUUUGUUUCUAACUUCCAACUAUGCGGCCAUAAGGAACUCUUAUAUUUCCGCGGUAACGCGAGGGGAAUCCACUAGUUUACUUGAUACUCCAGCCUGUAGUCAAGGAGUACCAGGAUACCAUAAAUGAAUUAGGGCUCCGUCUUUCCUGUGUCGGAUUCUCCGACCGAAUAAUUACUUUAUCAUCAUUAUUGUGAAGGGUUAUCAGGGGGAGGAUAGGGCAAGGCAAUAGAGAGUAUGGGUGGCAAAAAAAAAAGUCCAUAACCAGGCAAUAAUCAUGAUAUAAAUGCCACACCUAAUCAUGGUUUUGUCGUUUAUGUGUCGGAUAACCCAACCGGAUACACCCGUUAUUAUCAUUAUUGUGUGUAUGUUUGCAGAUUCAUAGUGGAUAAAAAUCUUCAUGGCCAACUACACUGGCUAUAAAUAGAUCACGGUUGAUUAAAGCUGUCAAUACUAAGCCAUCAAACACACACAACGGUACAAUUAUGCGUUCUCGGCUUUGAUGCACCCAACGGGGCAACAGAAUCCGCUGCCUUUCCGUUGUUGGAUAGCACAAUUCUCUUCGUGUUGAAAAUCCACAGUAUAGAUGUUUGUGUGACUAACUAAUUAAGCUUCUUGUCGUCCUUUCUUGUGUGCGACCAUUUUUCCAUAUUUCUUUAACUAAACUUUACUGAUUCCUCUUUGCAUCGAGCAAUAUACAACUACAUAAUUCCUCUUUACCUGAGCGAUCGAGUAAAUACGACUGAAAAAAGGUAGGAGUACUCCGUAUCAAUUCUGAUAAAGCUAUUUUUUUUUGCCGGAAUACGAAGUUUUGACUAAGCGCAAUAUACAUGGCGAUAACCAUUUUUACUGGAGGUAAGCAUUCAGUAAUAAUGUGCAAGCGUGUUGGGAAACAGCAAAACUAGUCGGUUGGUCACCGGCUUCCGAAAUUUCGCUGUAACGAUUCCAUGCAUGCAUAUCAGUGUCACCAUUCACCAGUGUACACAGACGGAGACAGCCAAGCCGCUGCCACUUGUCACCUACAGGCGCCGCGUCGCCUCGGCGUACACGCAUGCAUGCCCCUCUAGGCUCUACUAGCUACACUAUGGUCAACACGUACUACCUGGUAGCCCUCCUAUUUAACGUAUCCUCACGCAUCACAAAGAGAGCACGACAUCCUCCUACACGAGACAAAGCAACAGUUGGCCGGUGUACACAGUUCACACAAAGACAGAAGCAACCCUAGAACAGUAGGAGUAGUAGCCAGGCGUAGCCAAAAUGGAGAUGGGUUUCGCUGCAGGCACGGCGGCGAACGGCGGCGGUGGUGCGGCGGCCGCGACGAACGGCGGCGGGGGAGGGAAGGCGCCGGCGGCGGCGGCCAUACGGGAGCAGGACCGUCUGAUGCCGAUCGCGAACGUGAUCCGGAUCAUGCGUCGCGUGCUGCCGCCGCACGCCAAGAUCUCGGACGACGCCAAGGAGACGAUCCAGGAGUGCGUGUCGGAGUACAUCAGCUUCAUCACGGGGGAGGCCAACGAGCGGUGCCAGCGGGAGCAGCGCAAGACCAUCACCGCCGAGGACGUGCUCUGGGCCAUGUCCCGCCUCGGCUUCGACGACUACGUCCAUCCGCUCGGCGUCUACCUCCACCGCUUCCGCGAGUUCGAGGGCGAGGCCCGUGGCGGCGGCCUCGGCGCCGGGGCAGGAGGCUCGCUCAGGUCCCCCCGCGGCGGGCCGGCGCCCGGGUCGGCGUCGUCCAUGGUGCCUGGUGCUCAGCACCACCACGACAUGCAGAUGCACGCCGCGGCCAUGUACGGGAACCCCAUGGCGCCGCCGCACCAUCACGCGUUCCUCAUGCCGCAGCCGCAUUACGGGCAGCAGUACGAGAUGUACGGCGGCGGCGAGCAUGGGAUGGGCGCCGCCGCGUACUACGGAGGUGGGUACGCGCCCGGAAACGGCGGACAUAAUGGAGACAGCGGCAGCGGCGGCGGGGGCGCAAACACGCCGCAGGCUGUCAACUUCGAGCACCAGCAGCCGUUCGGGUACAAGUAGUAAUCUUAAGCUUAGCCCUGCAUCUGCAAUGUGCAGCUAGGUAUGGCAUUUUAAGUCUAGUGUACUGGUCAGCUUGUUGGUUAGAACUACUCUGUUGUGCUUUAGCCCUUCAUUAGGCGCAUGCAUGCAUCUAUCUAGCUAGCUAGUGACCUCUCCGUUGUGCUUUUGCGAAGUUCAAAUGGCGAUCAGAUCUCAGGCGUCCUUGUAUCCUGUUUUACUUAACUGCAUCCAAUUUUACUUUUCUCUCCGUUGUGCUUUUCCAAUUCCAACUUAGCUAUUCCACCGUCGAGGAAUUAGCAACAACUAUCUUGUAAUCUUAGUUGUGCGUCUCUCUGGUGUGCGGUUUAAUUUGUUUAACCAAGUCGCAAAAAUCGGAAUUCAACUCGAUUGAUCUCUGUGCAAAACCCACAGGACUCACUAACCUGAAACCGUACUCUCCUAGCUAGAUCGACGACAUUGGCGGCCGUACACGGGCGGGGUGUGUGUGGCCAGUUACUUCCCUAGAUAUCGUCUAUAGAGACUAGAGAGACGUUGCCAUUGGAUACUCCUAUUUGGGUUUUGGAUCGCUCCGGCCGGAGGAACUGCGGAAAAAAGAUGCCGGCCGGAAGCCGUGAUCCGGUUGGUGGGAGGUACUCCAAUCCGUAUUGUACAAUCCGUUGGUGCGUAGAUACGUACGGCCGUGGUGUACGUACAUCGGCGUAUAAUCGAUCGCCCCAGUAUAGUCUUCUUGCGCUUUGCAUGCGGGGCGCGCGACAAGUGCCGGCAUGUAGGCGCAGGUGCCCCUUCGAUUCCGCUUCCGCUUCCGCCGGGUUUAAUAUUGCGGCUGCGUGUCAGCCUGUAUCAGUAUCGAUGUCAGGGCUUCGUUUCGUUUCCCCUGCUCCCUCCAGUGCAUGCCCGUCUCGCUGCCGCUUCGGGAACUGCAGACCGCAGCUUGCCUAGUUCUGUGAGCUCUCCGCGCCCAGCACCUUCCCAAUGCAGGCUGCAGGCAUGCAGCAGCCCCUGACGACGGCCCUGACCGUCCUUCUCACACAGUCACACUACUGUACGCACGACCGUGUGAGCUCAGGCAGAUCUUUCUUUUCUCCUUUUUUUUUGUUCCUGCGCCUGCGCUGCGUGCGUGACGAAAUACCUUGAUCUGAAUCCUCUGUAGCCAUGCAUGCAUGCAGCGCUGCCAUGCCAUGCCCAGGCGUACCACUUUACUCUUUUCAACAUUUACCUGUCUACUCCUUCAGUACUAGAAUGACGAUCCCUUUGCUGAUGCACACUGCACAGUACCGAUGCACCGUAAAAAUUCCAAAGAAGUUUCACGCAAUUCGAUUCACAUGUACCCGAGAAAGACCCCGCAGUAGAACUGCCCUGAGAGGUCAAUAUGGGUUGCUCCUUUUCUUCACGGGGUAGCUGUCCUCGGUGAUGUCAAGGCCAGGUCCUCAUGGCUGCAGCUGUAUUCGGGUCCUGUUUAAAAUCUUCAGUGUGCUUGUCCACUGUGGCCACCGCGGCAGCGAUGCUCUGGACAUCGUCCACAAGAUGCACAUUGGAUCAGCAUUCAGCAAGUUAUUCUUGAUUCCUGAAAGGGAUGGUCAAAAAUCUGUGCUGUAAUGAAUAACUGUUAAAGAUGGUAAACAGAUUAUGGUGGAAUGUUUUGAAAAAAAGAUUAACACCUUAUUCUCUCUUAGAGGAUAUACUAUGUUGCGCAUGAACCUGCAGAAGUUCGGGGCAGCCUUGAGGUUUGUCUGCUUAUGGCUUGAUCAAGAUUUCCAAGAGUUGCAUAACUCAUCAUCUUAAAGGAAAAGCUCUAUUCCCUUUGUCACGAAAAAUAAUGUAGGCAGGAUCCAUGUUUCUGAAUUCUAAGAUGUAGACAACAAGUAUGAGAAAAUGACAGCACCCUGUUAUCCUUCAGUAUUAUGCAGUCCUUGACCACAGUAUACAUUAUCUCUGACCACCCAACAGAAAUACCCGGAUAUCAAAGAGAGCACUACAAAGUAUGUAUGCCUAGUUAAACAAAACAGUUCUAAAAAAUAAUGGUGCACCUAGAAGCGAUGGCACCAUGUCUUUCUUUGCUCUACUCAGUCUGGGCGAUGGCACCUCCUGCUGGUGUGGCCUCUGCAGCAGCGCUGGAAGAUUGAUCCCCAGCUUCUCCGUUUUCAUUUCUAACACACUGCCUUUUUAUAGCCACGUCGGACUCUCCCUCUUCUAGUUCUUUAUCACCACCAUCAUCAUUAUCUAUUUCCUCAUGAAAACCCUUGUCAAUGUCUUCCUCUGAAUGAUCUCCAUUUGCAGCGCCUUCAGCUGCAGCAGAAUCAUCCAUGCUUGCUUCGACCUUAUCAUCUGCAGCUCCAGCUUCUCCUCGUUUCCUCUGUGGGAUCACAUGAAAGAAUGCAGUCUUCCAGUCCUUAGUUUCCACAAACUUUUGCAUUAUCUCAAACACUUGAUUAACUGUAAGAACCUGCACGAGCCACAUGCAAGGAGAGUCAACAAUCUUAUACUCUUUGUACAGCUAUCCAAAGACCAGACUCCAGACAAGAUAUUAGCAACAAUCUUUCGUGAAUAUCUUAAAUAAACCUGUACUUUCACAUAGCCAAGAAACUAUUGAUAACUUCGCGCGGUAGUUUAAAUGACACCAGCAAAUCAAUACAGAUGACUCCUAAUACUGCAUUGAAGCGUGACAAGACUCCAGAGAAAACAGCAAAAACUAGUAUGUUACCUUUUUCCUUUCUAAAAUCUAAAAUGCUCUUCAGGCUCUUUUAACAAUUUGAAAAAUGAUGUGUCAUAUGAUAACAAAGUUCACCAUAUUAUUGGAGAAAAGGAAAUCAUCAGAACAUCUAGGCAUCUUGGAAUGCUAAGGGUUAUGCCAUAUCUGAUGUCUAAAACUUUGAAUAUAGGCAAGGUAACAUUUUGUAUUGCGGAAACAGUCGAGCAUAGAUAUGCGCACCUGAGAACUUGACAUCUUUAAAUAAUUUCCAAUGGGAAGCUUGGCAGAUUGAAUGCCCUGAUCAACUGCCUUUUUCUGUGUUAUGCCUUUCCAUCUGUUCCGAUCCACUAGACCACCAAUGAUAUAUAUCUUAGACAUGUCUAGAUCAUCAAGCACAGUCUCAGCAUCCGCUGUAAGAUACACAAGGUUUUCUUUACAAUCUUCAAAUGCUUCAAGAUAAGGCUUGGCCUCUUUUCCAAUGAUCCACUUGUCAAAUCCAGGAAUCCUUUGAAGCUGGGUCCCCAUUUCUCCGCUGCAACCUGUCAACCAUAGAUGAGCAGGCGUUGCUGAUCUCCCGUUCACUGCAUAGCAGUACAUAAUCUGUAACUUGCAUUAGUUGCUGGUUGGCAUGUUUGCUCAAACUAAAUAUCCAUGAAGGUAGAAGGCUUGGCAGAGACAGGCAUUUAGAUACAAUAAACUAGAGUCCAUAAUAACACAGAUGCUGCUUUCAUUUAUUUUAUUUGUUAUGCAGAUGCAGGUACUGGUGCAGAUAGACAAAAAAGAAUUGGGUAUAGCACAUCCAUGAUUAACAUUUGGCAGUAGUAUAGCACAAAUUGAUAAUUCUUGAGAAGAAAUCAUCGUCCAUGCAAGAUGCACCCCAAGCAAUAGGUUGCAUCACCGUAAAUAAUUAUAUUUCAUAUGCAUUACACAAGAAAGCCGCUUAUUAGCAUAAUUCAUUAACUUCGGAUAGAUAUACCAUCCCACCUCUCACACAACAAAAUGAUAAUGAAAGGAAACUACCCAUGCUUCCGGUACAACAUUGUACUCCUACCAAGGAGCUGGCAUGAACAUUCAGCAAAAACAACCUUCGCAUCUAGUGUUAACCUAACCAUCAUAUUUACCCCUUCGUUUCAGUUCAACACUUGGCAUCAAACUAAACUGAGACCAGUUGCAGAAAUAAGGCAACUCUGCACAUGCAUUGUCUACAAACGAACUAGUUUAAAUCUGAAAUAAUCGCUCCAUCCCCUAUUAGUUCCCUUAUUACUCCAACCAUCAAGGUUAAUUGUGUGAGUUCAAAAUUUAGCGAGAAAAGGCGAGAAGGGCAAGGCGAACCCACCUGCUGCGUGAGACUGUGAAGCUCGUUGGGCCGCAUGAGGUCGGCGAACUCGAGGUCGAGCACCACCUUCUGCCCGGCGCCCUCGGCGGCGCGCCGGAGCCUCUCGGCGCGCGCGCCGCGCUCAUCCACGCGCUUGCCCACCCUCUCACGCCGUGUCUCCCUCCGCGCCGCCAACAUCUCCUCGCGCGCCUCAUCCGACGGCGCCGCUGCUAACGCCUCCUCCCACUCGCGCCUCCGCCUGUCCAAGUCGGCCCGCCGGCGCUCCUUGUCCGCCACCUUCCGUUCGGCCUUCCGCGCCGCCUGCCGCUCCUGCUUCAGCAGCUUCUUCCUCGCGCUCUUCGACAGCGGCGGAGGAUUCCCGUCCACCACAACCGCGGCCUGCUCGCCCUCCGCGUCGUCAGCCAUCCCAACGCGCCGCCGCCGCCGCAGUUGCUGGGUUCGGGGGAGAAGGGGUUUGGGUUUCGCCGUGGAAUCCGGAGACUAGCGCCACAUGACCGUAAACGAACACUCUUUGACGGCCUUUCAGAAAUACGUCUUCUAACGGGCUUUACGUAUUUCAAAGUGCUCCGUAGCCCCUCCGUCGCGGUUAGCUAAUCAACGUUCAUCUGAAAACGGAGAACGUUUCACCGCAACGACCCCCUCCGAUUCCGCGCACGUACGUGACCCACUCCGCCACUUCCCACGGCGCCACUUCCAAACCCUGUAGUAUAAAACUUGAAACGCCGCAGUUCACUCUUGAUCACACCCACUCCAAGAACACACCUGUAAACCCUUUCUUCCUGUACUGAUUCCCUUUCGAGUUUGGUCAGAAAGAGUUCCAGGUUCCAAUCCAACCGCUGCUGCUGCACGUACGUACGCCAAUGGCCAACUUCCUCGUCCUCGCGGCCACCACUUCCUGCAUCCUCCUCGCGGCCUCGUUGCCGCCGGCGUCGUCGAUGCCGGCGGUCUACAGCGUCGGCGACGAGAAGGGCUGGAGGAUGCCGGCGGGCAACGGCACCGAGUCCUACAACCACUGGGCCAAGCGGAACCGCUUCCAAGUUGGCGACAUCUUGGGUAAAUUCCGCAUUCAGAAACUCCAUCCAUCUCCUCUUGAUCCUUGAAAAUCAUUAUACAACGUGAUGACUCGGUCGUGCAUUUGGUCAGAUUUCAAGUACGCGAACGACUCGGUGCUGCUGGUGAACCACGACGAGUACAAGCAGUGCAGCACGGAGAGCCCGGCGAGCCGGUUCACGGACGGGGACACCAAGUUCAAGUUCGACCGGGCGGGGCCACUCUACUUCAUCAGCGGCGCGCCGGACCACUGCGAGGCGGGCCAGCGGAUGAUGGUGCACGUCGUGGCGCACUCCACGCUGGCCGCCGCUGCCCCGGCCAAGCCGCCGGCGUCCUCCGCGGCGCCCUCCGCCGCCGUCGUCCGCGGCCCAGGAACGCCGUCCUACGGGUCCAGCUCUGGGUCGAUCGACAGUGCCACCCCGAGCCCGCUGGCCGAGCCUAGCGGUGCGUCUGGGCGUGCGAUCGCGGCAGCUGGUUUCUACGGCGUGACGAUGUUGCUGCUUGUCGGUGUUGUCACCAUGUUGGCGUGAUCUUGUUGACAGAUCGAGGUUAAAUUUAGGUUCUUGAUGAGUAGUGUGUGCGUGUCAUCGCUUAGGGAUGAAUGUUAGUUUUGAGAUUUAGGGAAAACGUCAGAUCUGUUAGGGCGGGUUCUGUUUGGGUAAACUGCUUCAUUAGGCGAAACCUCGGUGUAAUCCAUUCCCCUCCAAUAAAAUGGAAAUAAAUUUCGCCAUUGCUGGUUCCUUGUCUCGAUACCAGAAACUUUAAAAAGGUAAAGUUUUUAUUAUAAAAAAAUGUAAAGAAGGGUAAAAUUAAUUAGUAAAUCGUUUGCAAACCUGCUUAAUUUUAGGCAGCGUCCCAUGCAAAGCAUAUGCAUGCACGCGCGGUUAGCGCGGGUAUAAGUAUGCGGAAGGAGUGCCGUUGCGUUUCUCCAUCUUCUCCUCCUGCCUUCCUCGCCAGCCUUUCCUCUCAUCCCUGGGGGAAAUUUUGCCCCUAAAAACUUCUCGAGGAUCGGGUCCAUUCCUCAAGGGGGCAAAAUUUUCUCUCGCGUCUCCCGCUGAAGGAAACCGCCAGCCGUCAUCGAUCGUACCAUGUCGGUGAGUGCACGCAGCAGAUCCUCUCCAAUUAACGGAGCUAUCCUAUCCGAUGCGUUGACAAAGAAAGAAGAAAGAAAUGGUGAUGGAUGUUGCUUUUUAAUUUGUUUGAACGCAGAUGGAGGCUGGCCGCACGAUCCCCAAGUUCGGCGCAUGGGACGUGAACAACCCGUCCUCCGCCGACGGGUUCACGGUUAUCUUCGGCAAGGCCAGGGAUGAGAAGAAGGCCCCCGCCACCGUCCCCGGCCCCGGCAACGUGCAGUACAACAAGAUCAACAGGCCCGGCGACGACAUCAAGGAUGCCAGGGCCGAGAAGAUGAACCCAUCCUACAACAACAACAACGCCAACAACGCCAGGACCAACGGAUCGGUACGUAACGCCAAGCCUCCCGGCCCAACAUCCCUUGUUUCUUCUUACAGAUCCGUUCAUUCCUUGGCCUCUGAACUUCUCUUGCAGAAAAAAUGGUUCUGCUGCGUGUCGCCAAGCCCCACGCAGCCUUGAGACAGCGGCAGCUGGAAGGGGGCUUUGAGAGUGCGAUGGAUGGAUGGAGGAGAGGAUCAGUGUCAAGCUGCUGCUGCUGCUGCUUCAUUUAUACAUUACUAGUACUAUCGUACACACACGCACACGCUUGGGAGAAGGAGAUGAGACGACAGAAUAUGUUCUGUUGAUGCGAUUCUGUGAUGGUUGUAUGUGGCUCUGCCGGUAGCAAGGCACGGGCGUUAUGUACGUAUGACGUUCGCAUAAGAAGCUUGCUCAUACGGGUAUAUAUGAUCUGCGUUGAAAUGUUUUAGGUAGCGACUUCAACGAGGGUGCACUGACAUUGGCGCCCUUAUCUGAUGGAACCUGACCCUGCAUAUGGCAAAAAGAAUCUCCAAACUUUUCCGAAACUUUUAUACUUGCAUAGCUGUUAAUCUCACUCUUGGCACCACUUGCAAGCUUUGUUUCAAAACGUCCCUAAAAAAAGGCUUGAAUACAUAUUCGUUUAUAGUUCCAGCACCGAAUCCAUUUACAUAGCCUGUAUGCAAAGCGACGACACAAAGCAAAGGGCAAUUGGAAUGAUGAAAACAGGCAAGCGGCCGUCGUCCCUGCGGAGGAAGAGCGCCUCAUAGACCGGGUAAUUGAUGGCCACUACCGCCGUGCAGAGAGCAGCCUGGAGAAACAAUGGUCCCAAACCCUCUGCACCUUCGCGCCAGAAAACUCUGCCCAGUCCGAGCACCAUGCACACCAGGUUGAGUAGUGCGAUCGUGCAGAUGAUCACGAACAUCGCCGAGAUGGACCCGAACUCCAUCUUCCCCUUCUUGUACCUCUCCAGAGCCUGCGAGUCGCUUACCUUUGUUGUCAGGUCGAACCCGAACUCGGAGAGGCCAAGCAUUCCGCAGAUCACGUCGAUGGAUGCCAGGAGAUAUGAGGUGAUCCUUCUGAUGAGCCACAUCCUCUGUGCGUUCCACCACUCUACCGCACUGUCACCGCAUUGCAGAGACUCUACUAGGCUGCAGGAGUAUGCAGCCACCAAGACGUAUAUGUAGGGAAUGCACCAUAGGCUAGUUAUCUGAAUGAACCGGAGAUGCAGGUAUCAUGUCAGAAUUGAGCUGCAGUGCGUAAAUGAGCUUCGAAACAUACCGUAGAAUGUAGAUUUACCUCAGGGAAAACAGAGACGCCACUGAGGAAGCAAAGUGAAGGGAUGGUGACAUAGUAUAAGGUGGGGAAGCUAUUCAGGGCCCAGAAGCCGCAGACUGAGUAACCCAUUUGAAGCCCCAGCUUGAUCUUACCAAGGCCUAAUAAGAAGGGGCUGUAUUUCGAGAGGGAGAUUUGGAGGAACCCUUCUGACCAUCUCUUCUGCUGAACCAAGAUCUGGCCUAGUGAGGUGGGGGCCAUGCCUAAGAAGCCUUUUCUUGUCGGGUUGUAGUACACCGAUCUCCAUCCACGGCAUUGGAUCUUCAAUCCUGUGAUGACAUCCUCAAGUGGGCACCCAUAUGUAACUCCCUUCUGCAAUUCAGAAACCCAAACUCAAUAACGUAUGAUCUGUAAGAAGUAAGAACAUCCUGAAGUCUUCUCUGAGGUUAUAGUGCCAUGCCUGGGUUCAUUGAUCGUAUUAUAUACCAAAGUUGGUCAAUGUAAAUUGUCCAUAUUCACGGUGCAUAUAAAGAGAUAAACAGACCUCAAUCCCCCAGAGGGUGUCGUGCUCAUAUGUGCAUGCCACAAGUGGCUUCGAUACUCCUUCCAACUCAUUGGCAUCUUCUGCUUUCCCCACCCCACUAGCCCAAUCUUCCUUGUAAUCUUUACUAAACAUUCGUCCACAUAGGGUCUCUCUCCGAUGGAAGCAUCCAGUGCCAUAGUAACACAUACCUCCCCAUCCAUCCAAGCAAGGGUGAUCCAACUGAACAUCAAUUCAAGGAAACAACAAACAGGAUUAAUCUCAAGUGAUGCAAUUUACAACUUCGGAUAAAACUGUGUCCUCCAUUGAAAUUCAAGAGUGCUAUAUUAUCUUUGUAUUGACCUCAUUGGCAACAUUGAUGGGAUUGCCAUAUAUGUCAUUGUGCACAACGUUAUCGAAGUUCUGAGGGUACUGCACAAAACCAAUAUCUCGACCUUGCUCUUUGUCUAGGAAGAAACACAAUGCAUCCCUGAUGGACUCUGAAUUGUUGGAGUACAUAUCACAAUCAACAUUCAUAAUGAUUGGGCUGUUGCUUAUCACCGAAGAUACCCUUAUCUGCACAAUUGUGAAUUCCAGAAACACAAUGAUGGUUGAAUAUAAAUGGUAAUUCUCUAGAAAACCAUGUAUAAUACCAAACAGCAGACAAAAGACGUACCAAAGCAUUCAAUGAUCCAGCUUUGAAGUGAUGUUGUUCCUGAGGUAUCUUCUCACGUGUCAUAUACACAAGUUUUGGCAAUGCAUUUCCAUCUAUAUCAACUGCCUUCCGUUUGUUUCUAUCAAUUAGAAUCUAGCAAUAGAGAACCAGUUGAUCAGAUGGAACCACCAAAAUUAUGCAGACAGGAAUCAAAAUUUCCUAUCCAUUACAGUUUCAUGUGAAGAUAGAUUCUUCACUGGAUGCAUAUCAUUAUCAACCAUGCCAGGCUUGCAUCAGUCUGAAUGUAAUUUAAGCCAAAAAAGAAUGUAUGCUUUUAGUUUGACUAGUUGAACUCCCCAAUCAACUGCACAAUUAUACAUUACAGACUAGAACAGAGUUUUUAUAAAGAUAUGAUGUUUGUGACUGGAAAACAAUAUGUGUAAUAUCAUAUAAUUGUAGCCAAAUCUUGCACUGUUAUAACCUGGAGCCACUAAAAUAAUGAUGUUUCCUUUGUUUUCCCUCCGACUACUGUGGGAUAUCUAGCCUUGAGUACAAAUGUGGAAGCUCCUUUUAGAAUUGUUCUAAUAAUGUAAAAGAUACCCUUGAAUUAUUCCCCCAUAGGUACUUGAUAAAUACAAAGAAUUUUUUUCCCACAAUAAUUCGAUUCACCAACAUUAUAUGUUAAGUGCUACAGCCAAUUCACCAGCUCUGCAUUAGCCACAGGAGUUGCUUUUCAAACUUCUGAUAGUUAUCAUAUUAUUUUAAAUUUUGGAUCAACUACCAUGUUCUUCACCUAGUAGUUGGACUCUGGCUAAACCACCAAUUUUUUACCUGGACUAUUGCAGGGUGAGCACCAGAAGUUAUCGCCCCAUUCCAUUCAGAGAAGCCUCUGCAACUGCACUCUGCAACCUCAGGAAUCUUGCCUGAUUUUACUACCGAGUUCACGCGAUCAGUCAGAUCUUCGUACAGCUCCUGCAAUUCAGAAAAGAGAAAGAAAGCUAAUGAAGGUAUAAUGUGUUGGUUUCACAGCCUUACAUGGCAGAUUAUAAUGCGAAGGUCAGCAGCCCCCAACACCAGUAAAGAUUGAAUCAGAAUGUAGCACAGCAUCAUUUCUUUCGAGUUGAGCUACAUUGCAUCAGAAUAGAUGCAGAACAAAUUUGCACUCUACCUUCAUGCGGCAUAACUCUUCAGGGCUACAAGCAUCAUGAGGUGUAGCUAUAUUGGCAAAGUAGGCAGCUGGUGACCUUGGCUCCACCUUGUAAUUUUUGCAAAAUGGAAUCCAGUUCUUUGCAAACUCAGAUGCCUCAUAGAGAGCAUAGAAUGUUACAGCGGAACCAGCAUCAUCAGACAAAUAGAUGUUUAGCUUCUCCGGCGGGUAGUCAUAAGCCAUAACAGAUAGAACAGUGGAGAUGACAAGCAUCGGUGGUUCAAGAGCUGGGUCUGCUGUACACACAAAUAUGUCCACGCCUGGAAGCUGGUCCUCAUCAUAGCUGUUCGUAGCCAGGACUAAAGCAAGUCAUUCACCACUGACAUAGAUAAUAGAGUCAGACUAAUUUUGCUCGUGUGAUGUUGCUAUUUAGAUACCAUUUUAUUUGAAAAAGGUAACCAGACAUGAAUGUGUAGCAUUAUAAUGUUGAGAUCUCUAUAAUGUUCAUGGAGGUCCUGGAGCACUACUGCAUCUGAUUUGGUAGUACUCAUGAGUCACGACUCCUAGCUGAAAAAUACCUAUGUAAUGAAUCAUAUUCUAGCAUGGGUGUGUAAUGACUAUGAAUGCACAUACACAGUGCAGCUACUUCAGCCCGGCUGAAUUAUUCUUUUAGUAAUUUGGUCUAAUGGCAUGCCAAGUAUAUUUAGUAACACGCGAACCUUUAAGACAAGUUGGUAAUGCUUUUCAUUUCCUCACAAGAUAAUUUCUCGAUUUGAAUGGCAUGACAUCUACGGGCCACAAAAUAAAAUGCCAAAUAUCAGAGGCCACACUUCUAAACCACAUCUGAACUGUAACAGAAAAUGGCUGGUGUGAUAUCUACAUUGCAGACAUAACCCAUAACACCUUCAGGGAUCACAGAUCCAAGUUGCAGGACUUGCUGCUGUGUUUCAGAAUUGGAUCACGAAACCUCUAAAGCCAAUCCCCUGAACUGAUGUGCCAGUCCAAAUUCUAGUUGCCUAGCUAAUCAUUCCACUCAACGCUCUUGCUCUACAUCCAGUCCAAAUAGAAGAAGAAACAAAAAGAAGCAGCACAGAUUAGCGGGUACUUGCCUUUCCGAGAGGCGGUAUUUGAAGGUGGUUCGGCGGAUGGGGUUCCACCGCACGGAGAGGGUGAGGACCCAGUAGAGGCCGAACCAGAGCUCCGCCACGAGCAGCCCGAGCCACGCCCGCCACCCCAAGCCACUGCUAUGCCUCGGCGGCAUGUGGGUGGCUCUGUACAGCCAUAUGAGCAGGAUCCCCGCGAAGAUGGUGCCUGAGAACAGCCGGUACGCCGCCAUCCGCUUCGGCUUCUCCGUCGUGAACAGCGGUAGGCCGCCGCCGCCGCCGGGGAUGCUACUCCCGGCCAUCACUGCCUGCGAGCGACAACACUGGUGUGGGACGGAUGGCCUGGGUCAGAGAAGAGGAGUGCAGGGGCAGGCGUUUACCAGAUGGUCAACGUUCAGUAAUAGCAGUAGCAGCACAAGACUCCGUUGGAGGCGCUUCUGUGUUAGAGAACAUUUUCUAAGAGUCCGCCAAACUGUAGUACUCCCUUCAAGUAUUUAGAAACAGAGGAAGCAGAGACUAAUGUGAUUUUGUUUUGUGUUGUUUACUUUAUACGUUAUCUGUUUUGAGUUUUAGUCGCCAUCAGCGUUCGUGGCACUGUAUGAUGGGCAUCUUCUCAGCAUACAAAACAGCACACACUUGUGUGCGUUUUCAGCAGUUCAAAAUAAAGAUAGAAAUAAAACUCACACUAACUUCUGAAGCUGUCUCGCAUCCUUUACAGACAAAGCACUACAUUGUUUUCUUUGGAACUUGUCUUCAAGCACCACAAUGUUGGUUUGUCGCAUGGAUAAACAAUUCAACUCAAGAUGCCCAAUGAAACACAUGGGUUGCAGCACGCUAUAUUACAUGUAUGUAUCACGAGUAACAGCUAUUUUAUGUUGAACUGCAAUCCCUUUCUAGUAUCCAGUUGCUUAUUCCGGAGGAGAUUCUAGUCGCAAUAUGAUUUGGCAGGCAAACACCUGAGCUCGUCAGCGACGAGAUCAAAACACCUGAACUGUAGCAUAUAUGUUCACUGUUCAGUGAAAGACCAGAGUAUUCGACUUAGAAGGUGAUUGAUAAUGAGGUCAAUAGGAAAAUUACCAAGCUACGCGCGAAAUCAAGCAAUGUGCUCUAAAAAUUUUCACAUCCAUUUAUUUGAAAAACUUUCUGAGCCCGCUGAAUAAUGACAGAGCUUUGAGUUCACCACCGGCCCUCAUGUCCCUCAAUCUCCUACGCAGUAUCUGCACGAGAUCAAAGGGGGGAAACAUGAGAUGUAGUCACAUGUUGACUACGUUAGGCACAGAGAAAAAAAAUCAGCAGGCAGCAGCGAGAGAUCUACUGACUUACGUAUUGUGCACGAUACAGGAUUCUUCGUUCACUGAUGCACAGAUCUCUUGCCAGCUGUUUUAGUAGCAAUGUCCUGUUUGCUUGCUUUGAAUUGAUGGAAACUUGCGGAGAACCCUUGGCACCCUGAAAUAUUAGUGGUUGACUUCAACUGGAAUUUUGAACGGAAUAACAUUGGUGUCAAAUUAAUGAAUGAUCAUGAUUUGAUUUGUCUGUCCUGAUAAAGCAUUCGUAACAGAACUAGUAGGCGUGGUGCAGCGUUUAAAUAUCAUGAGAAAUUCGCUGGUGACUGUUGAGUUCUCCAAGAUAUGCCAUAGAGUAGACCUCACCUCUAGGUACUUGGUAUAUUUUGUUAUAUUCGAUUCGCAGCAGUCCAAGAUAAACUGAAGAGCCUGCUCGUCCAGCUCAGGAUAAUUAACUGCAGGCUUGGACGAACUUUUAUUGGAUGCAGCAACAGCCAUCUGAAGUGAUAAGUAACAUAAGAACGCUUUGUUGACCAUCCUAUGUCAGAGAUAAAGUUUUGAACAAUUGACGAGAAAUAGCGGCACUAACCUCCUCAAAGCGUUGAAUCAUAUCAGGAGGGCUGACAACGAGGAAGGCAUAAGCCAUCAGCUCAACUGGCCACCCUGUGACCCUCAAGGGGAAACUUUCGGACCUGUUAAAGGUGAUAAGAUCCAGUUUUGUGAAUACCAAAUAUAUAACUUUGAUAGAACAAGAAGUAUACAGAACAAGGUAAUAACAAUGAAGUAAGUGUUGCACAUGAUAUACUGAACUGGUGGUAUUUUCCCCCACAAAAACAUAAAACUUGAAGCUCCUCUUGAAGAAGGAAAAAAAGAGCGACGCUAACUAAGUACUGAACAAGAGUCAGCCAAGAAAACUGAUCAAGAGCCUAUGGUGGCUGGUGCCAAGAAGUUGGAGUUGGUUUUCAUGAGAUUUAUGUCCCAGUUUGGGUGCCAUUUGCCUAACAGGCUACGUAAUACUUGAGCAGUUUUCCAGUUUUAUGUGGCUUGUCACCAUUUCCUUUGGCCUUUUGGCACGAAUUUUCUGAUAAAACUAUGGCUAUGUGCAUCUCGCAAUGCAGAUACUGGGAGAGUUUUCUCAAAUUAUUCAAAACAGUGAACCUUGUCAAAAAUCUAUGGUUGGAUGUACUUAACUCCAAGUUUGUCCCCUAACUUGUUGAAAAGUAUGCAAAUGGUCGCUCAACUUUUUUCGUUUACUUUUCGUCCCUCAAUUGUUGAAACUGGACAGCAAUGGUCUCUCCUUCCAUGGAAAGUGGUAUUACUGCCGACAUGUAAUGGUUUUGGCCUCAGAAUACCACACUGUCUUUGGUUCUUCUUUGGGGGGGCUUUCGCGAAACAAGUUGACUCGGUGAUUAAAAAGAAAAGUCACACCAACUUGGCAGGUUGACAUGGCAAUUCUAAGGCCAAAAUCAUGAUAUAACAGCACUAAGACCGCUUUGGAUGGGGUGAGGGACCAUUGGUGUCUGGUUUCAAUAGUUAGGCGAUUUAAAGUAUACGAAAAAAGUUGUGGGACCAUUUAUGGACUUUUUAAUAAGGGACGAAAAAUAUAUAUAUAUUCUCUUUUUUAUAUGAUCAGGAACUUCCCAUUUUCUUAAAAAGUUUUUUUGAAAAAGAGAGGACCAUUUUCUUAAAAUAAAGUUAAUAAACAUAUAACAACAUGGAUGCAAACACCAGAACACACCAAUGAAUCAACGACACCGACACAACAUAUAGCACCUCAUGCAAACUUAUUUCUUUUGGAGAGAAGUGAUUAAAACGUUUAUUUUUUCACAAAAUGUGUUACAAUUUAACCCAUUAAAAAACAAAAUGGUAUAUUUCUGCUUUUUUCCUUAUACCAUCGUGAAGUAAUAACAAGAACAGGCCAAGAAAGACUCCAGUCUAAUCAAAUCUCCUUUAGUGAUGAAUGAUAACAUGGAAUGAGAAUGGAACAGUCGGAGUAGUUUCCUAGCCUCCACGAUAGACAAGGUAAAUGUUUUGACUCACUCUGUGAGUAACAGCCUAUGAGGACAAGAGCACUUACUCUGACAAACCGUGUCUCUUUAGCGCUUGUAGUUUCUCUCUGUAGCAGUCAUCAGACUUAUUAAGAGACACCGAGAACUCAACUGAAUCAUUUGGGUUUGUUCCCUCUUUUGGGACAAAACCAUAUGAAAGCAACAGCUCACCACUGGAUUUCUUCCCAUAGGAUAUAAACACCUGAAAAGGUUAAAUAGAAGUGGGCAAGUUAUCUCAAGAGAAUUUCUCAUACAAAACACAGAUAAAACAAUAUAUGCAUGGAAUAAGGACAAUUGAACCCAGGCAUAACACAUACAGAGAGUGAUCAGGCCAUAAUAGACAUAAUUCAUUUAACUGACCUUCCAAAUAAAAUAUGUAUAGCAGCCCACUUAAAACCAAGUAUAUUAUGUGUGUAAAAUAGAGAACGGCUAAAGUGGAUGGAUGUGGAUCUUUAGUGGACACGGCCUAUACAAGACUCAAGAUGACUAAAUUGUCAAAAUACAAGCCUCUUGCUACAACAAAAAGGGUCAUUAUGCAAGAUAAAAUUAGAUUUCAACUUAAAUUCCCAGUUAUGUAACACCAAAAUAACUUGCAAAUGGCCUACUGAAAACUAGCACCAGUACAGAUUUUGGUCACCAUUCUCUCAUGGACGUGGCAGUUACCGAUAGACGAAAGGACUGAUGGCCUCUUGAUAUUUAAUUCAGCAUGGAGAUGCAGUUAAAGCACAAAUUGAAGAUGUUACCUGCUCACCUGGUUGAUAUGAACGGUCAGUAGUGAAGACUAUUCCUUGCGACGACUUGUCAAAAUCCAAGAAUGCAUCUACCUGGGAAAUAGAUUUUGCUAAGAAAAUAUAUAUAACAUCGUUCACUUUCGGAAGACUUAUGAAAUAACGCCGAAAGGGAAAAUUGUGGAACUUAUGGUGCUUAAGGAGCUCGGUACAAUAUUGAUAAUACUCUCUGUAAAGAGGAAAACUGGACUAGCAGUACUUAAAGAAUUUUAUACAACAUUGAUGAUGAUUCCUUGUAAAAGUGUAAUACAAAAUGUAAUACCUCAGGGUUAUGGUUAAGCAUAUCUGCCCAAGGAACUAGUGCAACCUUUCCAUCCAUUGAUGGUAAACGAACCUGCAAAAUAGUCCCGUGCAAUGUGCACAUUCUUAUCGCAGAAAAUGACAGCAACAGCAAGCAAAAAUGUUUGUAUAUGUGACCAAAAUGGCUAUUAAAAGCAUAAUGAAGAAAACCAAGGUCUGGAUAACUUUUAGUAGCUUCAUAAUACUUUCUCUUACCAGACGUGAGAAGAGAAUACCAAAGGACCAUCUAAAGUUCUCCAUGUUGUAUACCUAAAAUAGGAAAGUUGCGGCACCAAAUAUCAUGAAUCACUUAAUGAUGAUAAUUGACAUGUUUGGAAUAGUCAUAGAAUCGGACCAUAUAUUUGCGACAACAUACACCACUUCCACGGCUUUGUUUCAAUAAUGGAGUCAAAAAAUAUUUUAUAGUUAUACCAUGUCCUGAACACUUAAAUAACCGAAUAUAUGCCUCUGUAAUGGUGGGUUUUUCUUAUUUGAACAGGGGUGAAAAGUGAAAACCUAUGUUUCUAGCAAGAAUAGUCAUCUAAGCACGCUUUUUACUUUAUCAGUUUGAACAAAUAAUGUAGCAGAGCUUGCUAAGCAUACCUCCUCAGGGAACAACUCUGGAUGUUUAGAAAAUAUUCGAUCUCGAAGGUCGUUGUAUCUGCAAAAAACAUAAGGUAUGAUUCCACUGAGGGCACAACAAAGGAGGAAAACUUCAUUUGAUAAAUGCCUAGUACAAGAAAAGAUAGACAAACUUACGUCCCAAUCACAUCACCGAUCCUCGAAAUUGCCCGUUCCCUUAUUGGAGAAGCCACCAAGUAUGCAUCUAUCUCUGUACGAGUCCUGCAAUGACAAACAAAGGCUGUACAAGAUUAAGUAUGUUAUCUUAAAAGCGACUCAUCUUAUAUCUUGGGCACCAUGCCAACAGUAACCUUCGGGCUGUACCAGUACAAAAGCGAGUAAGGCUGCCUAGGCAAUGCGUCAAUAUAGCUGCUCCACCUCGAUGAGCCCUCCAAACUGGCUUCGCUUAUAAGAUAGGUGGCGAGAAGCGGCCAGUCCGGCACAGAGUAACUCUUCAUCACAUCCCCCACCUCACGGUUGCUCCAUUCCUACACGCGAGCACAAGAAGACACACUAAUUGUGAAAUUGUUACCGCCUACCGGGGUUAAUCGGUUUGGUCGACGAGAGAGAUUUUGGGGUCAUUUUUACCGAAUCGGCGGAGAUGACGAGGGAUGGGGGCACGAAGAGCAGCUUCUCUCCAUUGCGAACAUUCGUGAGGGCAACGAGGCCGCGCUCGCCGACGUCCACCCUCUGGAGGGCCAUCCGCUGCUCGGGGAGGCCCGACGCGGUGAGCCACCGCUCUAGCGAUGCCGCGCUCUCGAGGGAUUCUAUCUCGCAGCCCCAUGGGACACUCGAGCCGGCCUCGCGCUGCGCCGGAGCGGAAGUGGACGCCGCGGCGGCAUGGACGGAGAAGCGGGUGCGGGCGCUAUAGGAAGUGCAAGGGAGAGAAUACGAGCGGAGCCGGCGGGGUGCGCGCGUAUGCGGCGGUGGCCGGAAUUGCGGGUGGAGAGUGGUGGCGGUGGUGGUAGAGGUCAUGGCGAAGCCGCGAGUGCAAGGGGCUUAUCCGCUCGUUCGUGGCAGGCUCGGGGUUUUAUCGGUUACUCUUUACGGCCAUUUUCACGACGAGAAAAAAAACUUUUACCACCGUCAGGCUGAGCUACUGGGCCGAUCCAAAAACUACAAAAAGAUUACUUGCACCGCAAAAUGUAAGAAUGUAUGUAAAAGUUACUGUAUCGAUGUAUUGUACUACUCUAUCUAAUACCGUAAAAAAGACAAAAUAAGAAAUACUUUCUCUGAUUCAUAUUAAUUGUCGAAAUAUUGCAUGUAUCUAGACACUUUUUAAGCAUACAAACAUUCAUAUUUGGACAAAUUCGAAACAAUUAAUAUGGAUCAGAGGUAGAACCUUCGGAUUCUCUUUCUUGCACCAUGUGCUCUUACAUUUCAUUAAAAGUAAUUUAAUUUUUUAGUGGUACAUAUAUCUCAAUCCAAUUAUGGGUGUAGACACGGAGAUGCCCUCAGUUGUACACCAUCUCUUUACUUAUUAUUACAAGUUGAAGUUUUUAUAAGCAAUAAUACAGAUUGAACUUUAUUGUUGUAGGUUUUCCGUGGUUUGUUUGUGUACAUGUGAGGCUUGUGGUUUACAUUGUGUCUCGAUAUAACCGCGAUAACAUGUUCCGGCAAAAAUACGUAAAAGACAAAACUAUUUUGCCGUAAAGAUCCAAAUUCAGUUUGUGCAUCAGAAUCCAAAGAAUGGAACGAAAGUACUCCAGUAGCUAACAGUAACAAACGUCCCCCACCUCAACUCUUGCGCAAUGCAACUAGUUAAAACACUGUGGGACUAUCUUAUGUUGUUCAAACCAAAAAAUUGUGUGUUGUGCAGCCUAUUUAAAGACAAAUCUAGUCAUAUCGAUUUGAUAUUGUCUACGUGGCAAGUCUUUUUGUACUGAAGGUGAAACAUCAAAAUGUGUAAACCGGCACAAAAUCUAAAUCUACAUAUAUGUUAAGAACCAAACGGAGUGGAAUUUAUAUUAGGUAUAGCUAAUUAUUAUUAUUUUAAAAAAAUUGUUCAAUAUAUUUUGUCUUUAUUUUCAUGAUUUUCACGAUAUUUUGAACGCCGGUCUAGCUAAAAUGCAUGGAGUUUGCUAAAUAGGUAUGUCUCAAUAUUCUUUGAAGAAGUUUUAUGAGUCUAGAGGGCUGCAACUCACUUCCUCACCCUCUUCUCUGCACCUUCAACUCUUCACAUGAGACGUGGCGAGGUAGCCUACCACAACAACCUUCUACUAAUUUCCAAUAUCCAUGUCACUCCAGCCUCCUCUCCUACCAUCUCUUGUUAAAAAGUCAUCUCUCCUUGCUAGUGGGGGUUGAGAGCGGUGAAAAUGAACAUCCUGUGCUAGACACAGAGCCACAUGACGAUAGCAACAUUGCACCUAGGCACAUGCGAGUUGUGGAAUGUGUUUUUUCCCCUUUUGGUCGCAAAAGAUUUAUGUUUGUGUCCAUGAAUUUUUUUGUUUAAGGCCACGGUGCAUCUUUGAUCAGCUCAUUUGCAACACAUACCACGAUGCCUACUCAAAACGUCAAUGUGUCAUAUUUCCCAUGACCCAACAGUUGUUUACCCCAUUAUAGCCGUCUGUUGUUACAUAUUUCCCCGCGAGUUCAUAAACAAGUUGAUCUGACCCAGUGGGUCCGGAAGUGGUAUUGCACGGCCCAUACCCACUAGCCCACAUACCCGACCAUACCAUGUGUGGUCCGUAGUUUCAUGUAUAUAUAUAGGAGAAACCCUAGAGUCCAGCCGUGCUCACUAGUUCCUCCCACCCCGCCGCACCCCCCACCCUGAGGCCGCAAUUUCCCCCAUCUUCCAAACCCUAGCCUCUCAUUCCGCCGGUCAUCAACCUUUCCCCUCCGCCCUCUAGCCUCUCCUGUCCCCUACUUCAUUUGUCGUCUCAAUGUCUCGGUGCGAUGUCGCGACCAACGGCUGCGCCGGUGCAUCCAAGCGGCAUGGAGAUGUACUCCGACGAGACGACCUAUAUCUGCCCCGCAGGCGAGGAGCAUAAGGAGGAGAACAGAGAACUUGAUGUCCCGUAGGCGAGGAGCACAAGGAGGAGAACAGAGAACUUGAUGUUGAUGUUGACAUGGGUAGAGGACCUGUGCUGCAGGCCGAUGGCAACGUGCACGAGGUGGGGCUGGUUCUCCGGCACCCUUCGAUAUUUCCACCAUCUGCCUUCGACCUGCUCAAGUGCUCCUCCUUCUGCUCCUCGCUUAUGAUGCAGAUACAGAUCAAGAUCGACCCGUUGGAGGCAGAUGGAUGAGACCGAUGGCCCGUGGGUCAUGCAUACCCGAGCCGUGGUGCCAGGUGUGGAUAUUUUUCCUCUAAUAUACUCUAGCGUUGUUAUGUUGGAAAUUUUCUGGAACUUGCUAUUUAAGUCGUAGAUCUAGGAUUUUGCAAAUGCCCAUUUACACAUAUGUAAGCUUAAAGUAGCCUAAGACUGACCAGCUUUGAAGAUUAGCACUACAUCUGCCACAUUUGUUCAUUUAACAAAAACUAAUCAGACCGUCGUUCUCGAAACGAAACAAAUCACCUCCACUCAAACAUACGGCGUGCUCCACUCGAACAUUAAAAAAACCGCCCUGACCCAGAAAAGAAAGAACAAGACGGUACUCCAGCUGUGUAGCUGAUCGCUACGGCGCUGCUUGUCAAGGGGUCCCACAGAUUAAAACCAAACCUCGCUGACAAGAUGGGCCUACACAUACACCCAACGGGGCCAGACUUUUCCCCUCCCGCAAGAACAUCUCCACACGAUAAAACCCGAGAUGCUUUCCAUUUUUCCCAAACUCUCCAAGCAAUUUCCAUUUCCGCCGCUCCUCCCUCCCCAGUACGCACCAAGCAGCCGGCGAGUACUCCUGCAGCAUCGCCUCCUCCCUGUCCUCCUCAUGGCUGACCCGUCCAACUCCUCCCCCACGGUGGCUGCCACCGGCGACUCCCUCCUCGCGCCGGCCGCGGACGCGCCGGAUGCGGUCCUCCCCGUCGCGGCCCCCGAUCUAGACAAGGAGUUCGGCUUCCAGCGCCCGGAGCUCGGGAAGGAGAAGCUGGCCGGGACCGUGGGCUUCCACGAGCGCCACGUCUUCCUCUGCUUCAAGGGCCCCGAGGAGUGGCCGUCCCAUGUCGAGGCCACCCAGUCCGACAGCCUCCCAGGCCUCCUCGCCGCCGCUCUCAAGGCCCGCAAGCCCAACUUGAAGAAGAGCGUGAGCAUCUCUUCCGCCUCCUCCCCCCCCCCCCCCCUUCUCUUCGGCUUGUUGAUUGGUUGAUUUGGCGUUCUGAUGUAGUAUUGGUAUGCUUCCCUGCUUCUAGUGUUGUAGUGUCUUAUUUUGCUUUGGUUAGUCGAAGUGCGAGUGGGAACUGCUUGCUGGUGUCUCUGAUCUCAGGAUUUAGCUGGUGAAUAGUUUUCGAUUAGAUUGAGUUGAUAUGUGAUGGUGUGCGAUUUGUUCGUGCAGGAGAUCGCGGCUUAGUUCCGAACUGCUUUAUGCCAGUUAUUGUUUCUGAUUUGUCCAGUAGAAGCUCGAUUAUUAGCGUAAGCCGUGGUGUCGAUAUGGUCUACUGUUUCAUGCCAGUCAGUUAUGUUUGCUGGUUGAUAUCCGUACACUUCCAAUUUUCACAUUCUGUUUUGGUCCAUGUUUCACUGAAUAUCUGAUCGCCUGGUGCUGUCCUUUGAGGUUAUAGUUGUUUCAAUUGGACGUGUAAAUUGUGCUUUGGGAAUUUGGAUGUCUCAGGAAUCCACGAGUCUAGUUUUCGUGGUGAUUUGGUGUAUAUGUUUCGGAUGUGUUUGUUAUGGAUUGGUUAAUUGGAUCCUUGCCUAGAAUUUUUUGACUCGCUCCAUCCCUUUUUCUGAAUUCUCGUUGCUUUCAUAUUGGAUUUUCUUCACGAAUUUGUGUAUCCAACUCCAUUUCUAUUAAAACUUGUAGGUUCCUUGACUCGCUUUAACAGAUUCAUAUUGUUUUCAGGUCCAUCUGGAUCUUAUUACUUAUGUUGUUUAAAUCCACGUGCUGUACUUCUGAAUUGUCUGCUUAUAUUCCAAAUAUCCUGUGACUCUUAUCUUCGAGGACCUACAUUUAUUCGUUCACAAUAUGAAUGGGCAUUGUAUUUUAGAUCCAAGUUAGGCUGUAUUUGUUACUGGUUAGAUGGUUUUUCAUAAUUUGAUUAUUGCAUCAUUUGCUAUGUCGCCUGCUUAAGAAUCUAUGUUGGUUAGAGUUCGUUAUGCACCUUUGAAUUCGUAUGAUUGUCUGUGUGGUCAAUGUUUCUCUUCCCCUAGGAGCUUACUCUUCAACAUAGUGCAACAAGAUAAUAUGGAUGAAGUUGAUAUGAUACAUGGAGUUGAUGUCAAUGGGCAUUGAUCAUGUGAUAUAUGAAAUCAAUGUUAAAAGGAAAGGCAAAAGUAUAUGAUCUAGGAAUCUAGGGCGAUAUUAUUCAGUACUAUUAUGAACUUCUCUAAGCUAGAUUCUGCCAUAUGCUAUGUCCAUAUUUUCAUAACUUCACUCCUAAGAAGGUUCCAAGUUAUGUAUGUAUUCUUUGGUUGGUGUUACCUUUUUUUCUAGAGUAUUUUGGAAGUUCCCUAUUUUUUUUGUUUAUUCUGAGUCCAUUUUCGUGUCCUUCGGAUUAGCUUUGAGAUAUGUGUGUGUGGGCACGUGUACCCUAUAAUUAGAUUAAUGGAGAAGAAUUUCCAUAUUUAAAUAUAAUUUUAAUGCUAAUCAGUGGUCUAUUUUAUUUUUCUCAGACCAAACUGACCAUCUGUGAAGGAGAAGAAGGCACCGAAUCAACUCUUGGAGACGUCUUGAUCUUUCCUGAUAUGAUCAGAUAUAGGUACCUGCAAGCCUGUAGGCAAAUAAACAUAGAGUCUUUCCCUUUCUGCUUUGAAUAGUCAAAUACAUAAGUGAAUUGAUUGUUUUCCUUAAUACGUGAUAUAAUGUUUGCAGAGGGCUGACCCACUCUGAUGUCGACAACUUUGUUGAAGAAGUACUCGUGAAAGAUGUUGAAUGGGGUCCUGGAUCUCCUGAGGCUAUAAAAGGUUCCUAUGUUUUUGUGUGCUGUCAUGGAAGCAGGGAUAAAAGGUGUGGUGUUUGUGGACCAGUUUUGAUUAAAAGGUUCAAGGAAGAUAUAGAAGGACAAGGUCUUGAUGGUCAGGUGGCUGUUAGUGCAUGCUCGCAUGUCGGAGGCCAUAAGUAUGCAGGAAAUGUCAUCAUAUUCAGUUCAGAUGCCAAGGGAGAAGUGACUGGUCACUGGUAAGAAUCAGGCACUAUAAUAAAAUUCUAAUUCUUAUGCACCAGUUAACUUAAUACCUUCUUGUGGACCUCUCAAUUUUAAUUUCUUUUGUAAUUCCAGGUAUGGUUAUGUUGCUCCUGAUGAUGUGCCAGUGUUGCUGAAUAAGCAUAUUGGACAGGGAGAGAUCGUAGAUCAUCUAUGGAGGUAUGCUUCCUUCUCUAAUUGUUCCAUGUGUUGAUUUUGACUGAAGAAGUUAUUUAGUUGUACCUGUCAUUUGUAUCCAUGUUGCGUAGUGUCACUGAGGACAAUUGACAUUUUCAAUUCUGCAUCUUUUUUUCUAUUGCUACUGUAUCUGGGCACUGACAUGCUUAUGCAAACGUAUGUUGUAGAUUCUAUAAUUAAAUAGUCUGAUAACACCAUAAAAUCUGGAUGGUGCAUGUUCUAGUUUUAAUUGUACGUGCACUGUUAAUCUUGGUCAAAUGAUUUGGUUACUACAAGUACAAGUACCGUUCAACUGUUCAUAACCGUUGGUAAACUUUGAUAUAUCUUGUGUUAACUCCUUAUCUUUCCAUUUUAUCUUAGUUCAGGAAUAUGUGGUGGAGGAAAUUGAUGUCAGUUUAACUGAAAUAACUAUGAUUUAUUUUUCAUGAAUUGUAUUGAAACCCUUAAUUGUUUGAAUUAUUCUGCUCCUGUGAGGCCAUUGGUGCUGCAUUUGCAAAUGUCCUCAUUUGUAUACUCCUUUUGCAAUGGCUUUAGAAAUUUAAGAAUCGCCUUUCUGUGGUUAAUGUUGUAUAAAACACUGAUAUGUCUUUCAUGUCCAAUGAUCAUUUGGCUUGUUUUUGUUCAUUCAUAGCUGAGUACCUCUCUUUAAACUGGGUUCUUACAUGUGCUAUCCUGUCGUGCAGGGGUCAGUUGGGUUUGUCUGAAGAACAGCAGAAGGAAGCUCUGGAGCUUAGGCACAUGACUAAUGGCGUGACUGAGGAAGAAUCACGUGCCAAAGAGUCCCCUGAAGCAAAUGGAACUGCCGGUGCUGCCUGCAACCCUGCAGCUGGAGUUGGAUGCUGCCAGGGCAACGGAAGCUUUACCUGCUGCCAAAGUGAUGUUCCAGAGGAAAAACAGGACAAAGGCAUUCCAGAUGAGCAGAACCACAAGAGCGCUAAGGCAGAGAAUGACAAAGAAAGCGUUGCCGGAAGCAAGAAGGGGCACAUGAAGAUUUGCCAGAUGCCGAGCUGGUUGGAGACCUGGGAGAGGGCUGACACCUAUGCCACUCUUGGCGUUGUUGCAGCAGCUGCAUCGGUGUUCAUCGCUUUCAGGUUCUACAAGAGCAUGAACUGAAGUCCACCAAGGAAUCCUUAAAACAAGACCAGGUUUUGUGCACCAAGGACAGUCUACCUUUGUAAAACAGUCUGAUUUGAGAAUAAUACAGCACCUGUGCAUAGUAAUGCAAUGGUUAGAACUUUAAAAGUAGCUGAUCUGGAGACGACGAUGAAAAUCUGUUAUGCUUAAUGUGCUCGUUGAAACUCCUGAGUUCGUGGUUUUCCAUGCCUUGGAUGUUUGUAUCCGUUUGUAAGGCGAUGACCCUGGUGUUCUGCAUGACGAUGUUAUGCUUGUUUGGUUGGAAUUGGGAUGGUCUGGAGCAUGUGGCGUUUAAAGAAAUUGUGCAUCUCUGGUAUGUGCAUAUUGCAAGCACAAAUUCCUUUGGGAUGAGAAGCUUGUUUUCUCCUAAAUAGUAGUAGUAUGUGAUAUCGCUCUUAGGAUUGUCGUAAGUUGGAUUUGCCUAUUCUUGAUUGUUGUUUCGACAGAUUUAGGUUGUUUCGACUGUGUAAUGUUCUUUCUGCGGUUAGUAUGCGAGGAGUAACCAUACCAUGGGAAAGGUGUAAAAAAAAAAACUUUACCAGUGGAAAAUAGUCAGAAACAUGCAAUGCCACGAAGCCAGUUAGCC
rnacentral:lncRNA from 1 species